AUGUACAUAAGUUGGCUUAUAAAUAAUCCCUGACAAAACUAUUUGGAUUAUACAGAGAUCAAGGGGCAUAAGCCGAGUAUGUAAAUAUAAAUUAUCACAUUGAGAGUUUUACUUAGACAUAAACAAUAUAUAAUAGAUUUGGAAUAUAGUCCAUUUACUGCCAAUUAAUUUUAAUUUGGAAAGUUAUAACAUUUAACAUGGUAUCAAAACCCCUAAAUUUAAUUCUAAAAAAGGUUAGUACAUCGAUCUGCACUCUUAUAAUUGCUCUCAGAUCCAAUAAUAAUAAUAUGCAAGAUUAAUGAUUAAAAGAGCUAUUAUUUCGAAAGAAUGUAUUAAGAUUAUGUAGAGAUUAAACCUUAAUGUUUAAAAAGUGUGUGAAUAUAAAAUUUUUUUUUUGGAAAAAGUGCAUGGGUCCGAAGCCGCCAUCCGCCCCAAUGUCAAGGUUAAAAAACACUUUGCAAAAACAUGGCCAUGGACCCACGGUGGUACAUUUAAAAAAAAAAAUAGCUGGUGCACGGUUGAUGUAACUUCUUGUUAUUUAUAGAAUAUUUGUUAAUUUAGUUUGUGGAACUUUUUUGGGAGUAACAAGAUUCUAUAAAUAAAAUAAGAAGAUAUCUUUGUUAACCCAAUAAAACAAUUAGGCCGCCUGACUUGUGUCGAAUAAUGCAUACUUCAUCUUUUACGAUAAAAGGUGUUUAUUAUUGCAAGAUCGAGAUUUAUUCUUUAGUAUUUUGUAAUAAUGCUGCUUAUCACUAUCCAUAUUCAAAUAUGAUAGAAAAUGUAUGUUUGAGUAUUGAUGGUUGUUUCCAUUUAUUUUUUUUUGUUAAAGAAGAUAACGUAGUAAGUAUACACCUAAACUACGUAGAUGCAUAAUCACAAAACACAACGCACACUAUAAAUUUUUUACUAGAGAAUUAAUUCUUGCAUAUUUUUAGGUAAGGUUUUACAUAUUUUCAUUCUUUUUCACUAGUUAUAAUUAGUUCAUUUAUUAUAUUUUCUAAAUAACCCAACAUCAUUUAUUACUGAAAUACAAAAUAUAAUUUAUCUAUUUUAGGUGUUUUAUUAUAUUUUACAUUUUUUCUGUUUUAACUAUUUCAUUAAUUAUUUUUUCAUAAUAAUUCGACAUAUUUUAUUUUGCAUGUUAACCAUAAAAAUUCGAUAUAUUUUAAUAAAUUAUUCUAUUUGUGACAAUAAUUCAAAACGGUUAAGAAAGAGUUUUUUUAAAAAAAAAUUGUUUAUAAAAUUAGUUAAACAUGGAUAUUCGGGUAUACGAUUGGGUAAAUGUUGUCUUUUCGGAUAUUAGAUUUUUGAGUUUGAAAUUAGUCUCCGUUAUGAUAUUAUAGAAUUUCUGAUGUGUAGGAACCUAAAAAUAUCAAAAAUAACCUAUGUGUCUGAAAUGAGUUAAGGAUAUUUGUACAAAAAGUAACUAUAUUGUCUGAUUCAGUUUGAGUAUUUUGUAUCCAAACUAAAAAUAACUUAAAUAACAAAAUAACCAAAGCAAUCAUAUUAUCCGAUUCAAUUCGGGUGAUUAUAAUGUUUAGAAAUCUAAAAAUAUUCAAAUAACCAAUAUAAAAUUAAUUUUAAGGUGACACAUAUAGAAUAUAUAACACUAAUUAUGCAAAACAAAUACUCUCUCUGUUUCACAAAGAAUGUCAUUUUAUGUUGUUUUCAUGUUUUACAAAAGGUGUCAUUCUACAUUUUCAUGCAACAUUAUACAUUAAAUUUAUUUUGAAUAGCCAAUAUAUUUUUAUUUAAACCAUUUUCAUUUAAUUAAGCAUACAUUAAAUAAAUACAUUAUAAUUUAUUACUCCCACUGAAUACAAAUAUAUGAUGUUUAAGUUUUUUCACACAUAUUAAAAAACAAUAGAUAUACUCUUUUGGUUAUUACUUUUUGAUUUUAUCAAUAAAGUUUCGUCAUUCAUAAUUUCGUGUUUAAUUUAUGUUUCUUUUUAAAGAGAAAUGAAUUAAGUAUAUCAUAAAACAUCAUAGAUUUGUAUACAAAAUAAAAAGGUAGAAUAUCAUACAUUUGUAUACGGAGGGUGUAUACAAUUUUUUUAAUCUCUCUGAAAUGUGUUAAAACGUCCACACGGAUCUGAGGAUCAAUUUCUAGUAGACAUUUGCCCGCAGACACACACAUACAUGGAUGCAUAAACUUAAUUUUUUUUUUCUAAACCUAAAUUGUUUAGUAAAGAGUCAAAAAGUCGCUUAUGGUUGCAAAUAAAACGUAAUGUGGGCCUUGGCUAUUUUUUUACUAACAUAAUUAUGAAUGUAAAGUCUACCAUUAAACACAUAACGAAUGUGUAAUGCAAAAAAAUCGUUGGGUGAGAAAAAUAUAUGUAUCUUUUUUGUCAAAAAAUAUGUAUUUAAUUCUUUGUAUUUAGAAUGGCCAUUGUAUUUAUAUAUUUUGAAUUGUAUAUAUAUCUUCGAUUCCAAUAUAUAAAUACAUGUAGCUAUAUAAUAUCUUCUUAUUAAUAUCCAAAUUUGUUUUUGAUUAAAUUUUUAAUGUGCCUUAUCAAAUUUUGUCAAAUGUUUUUUUCCAACAAGAUAUAUUGCUAGAAGACAUGUGUAAGUGUGAUAAAAAGGACCAUAAAUUACUAAGAAUUAAAAUUAUACUAAUACUUAUUAUGAAAUUGAUAUUCGUAAGAAAAUGUUUAAAUACAUUAUUUUAUAAAUUUAAAACAUAAUUCUAAAACCAUAAAAUAUAUAGUUUGAUUAAUAUAAACGGAACAGAUCAAACUUUGAAAUCUAAAUGUUUUGUCGCACAUUAAAUUGAAGCAGAAUGAAAUUAAACUAAUGAUUAAAAAAUUAUAUCCCGCGCUUUUAAAGUGCGAGUAAAAAUUUAAUAUAUUAUUAAAAUAUAUUAUUCAUGAUUAUGUAAGUACCAAAAUUUAGACAAUUAUUGAGAGAAACAAAAAAAUAUAAAACACACAUGAGUCUAGAGUCGCCCAAGAGAAAAGUAAGGAGCAGCCACGACCGGAGUCUUUCUUCGCACUUUGGUCAACGUUUUCGAGAAGAUAGGGAGAGACGAGAGAGUGACAUUCUUGUGAACUAUAUAUAUUACCUUGCAACAACUAGUAACUAAUUAACCAACACAGUUGGCCUAGUGUUAGUUGAGGACCAGAUCCAAUACGCUCUCCGCAGGUUCGACUUGCGUUGGCCACCCGGACCUUAACCCUGCUAAUUUCUGGGGUAGAAAUCACGUGGCUGCUGCGGACCUCGUGGGAUUAGUCGGUUGACCUCGGUCGCCUGAUCCCCACGGAUAUAAAAAAAAAAAAACAACUAGUAACUAAUCUAAUAAAUUUUUAUAGUGUAUAAACAUACGAUGGCUUAUGGUUGUGAUAUUCUGUUUGGGUGCACUAUGACUUAAACAUUAUGUUCAAUAAAGCUAAAAGUGUAGUUAAGUAACAUACAAUAUAAACUCAAUAAAAUAACAUUCAAUAAAUUAAAAAUAUAAAUUAAUCAAUUGUUCAAUUUUAUUUUAAAUUUUAAAAUAUAAUAUAAUUUAAUAAUAUAAAAAUAACACUUUUAGAAGAAAUUAGGUAAAUAUAUGAUUUCAAUAAAAUUAUAAUCAACAAUUACCAUAUAUAUUGCUCAUCAACCCUAUAUUUCUUAAGUGAAAUUAUCAUAUUUUAAGGACAUUGAUGGUUUAAGGAUCAAGAUCUUCCAGUUUGGUUCACAGAGUCAGUAUGAAUCUGUAUAAGUUGAUGAUAAAAAAAAAGGACACUGAUAGAACCAGAAGCAGCAAUCCUUAUUGAAAGUAUCUCGUUAAGUCAAUGUUCUACGGUGGACAGAUAAAUAUGUUAUUUUACACAGUCUAGAAUAUAUACGGUUAAAACUGAAUGUGAAUUGGAACAUCUCUAUCUAGCAAGGCUGGUCUUAGGAAAAACCGGAUGAAAAUUCGCCUAGAGUCCCCAACUAUUUUGAAAAAUAUUACAUAGACAUAUGCCUCCAAAUUUAUAGAAAAGGCCUUCAAUUUUUUUUUUUUAAAUUGAAAUCUUAACUAAAUCGCCUAUGGCCUCCAAAAUCUCUGGACCGUCCUUACUAUCCAGACAACCACUAGUUUUCAGGCCUAAUACUAAGACCCUUCGGGUACACGCAUGGAAAAUAAAAUGUUCCCCAAGGGUAAGGUAUUUUUCGGCAAAUUAUUCAGGUUGUUUACUGGUCAGGAAGAAUCUUCAAUCAAGAGGAAUAGAAUGUGAUUUCAUUGUCAAAGAUAUAGAGCAGAAGAAGAAUCAAUAAAUCAUAUUUUUUUUGAAUGUCCAUCCGUUGUUCAGAUCUAGAUGUUAUCAAGGAUACCCACGCACCCAUGUAGCUUCUUUUGCAGUCAGUUUUCACGAACAUGGAUUAUUAAUUUUGGAGGAUUACGUCGCACUAAAGAUGCACAAUUCGCCUGGAUUCUUUAGUACAUCUGGAAAGAGCAAAACGAUAAGAUUUUAAAUAGAAUUGAUAGAGAUCCAAGAUACAUUGUAACUUGCGGAAACAGAAUUAACAUUGUGAAGGAAGCCAAAUCUCAUUAGAGUAGAAUGGAACCCAACCAUUCAACGAAUCAGAGAAAAUUUCAAUGAAUCAGAGAACUUUCGAGAUCCCACAUGUAUCCAAGACUCAAAACACAAAGUCAUACAGUCUUGCACGUGGAGUUAGAUGUCAACCAACCUACUUCGUUUUCAUAGACAUUGAAUCCUAUAUUUAGUUAACAAAGUCUUAACCGAGUCUUUUUAUGCUGGUAACCAAAAAUACCAUCUACAAAUCUUACAUAAAUUUUUAUAAAGAAUUUAAAAUAAUGUUUGUUUUAUUUUUAUUUUUAUUAUAAUAGUUUAGUGUUAUUUUGUAAAAGUACAUUGAAAACACAUUUACAUUCUAAAUUGUUUUAUACAUAAAAAUGAAAAAUAAUAAGAAAGAGAUUAAAAUACAUCUAUCAAAUUUAAUAAAUAUAUAAUACAAUAAAAAUACUUUAAUAUUUAAUAUAAAAAUAUUUUAAAUAUAUAAAUAUAUUUAAAUUAUUAUAAUAAUAAAAUAUCAUAAUUUUAACACUUAUAAAACAUUUACUGUAUGGUAUUAUAUAGGGUACUCUCAAAUGGAUUGAAUUAGAUUUUGUAUAAAACGUAUUGUUGAUGGGAUACAAGAUUACGGGUGCCAAUUUUAUAUUUAUUCAGAAUAAAAUAAUUUUUGUUAAUCAAGUUUAUGUUAAUAUGCUUAAGUUGUAGAUAUUUAAAGACGCCAUUGAUAUUAUAUUUUGAAUUUUUUUUUCAAAUUGAGUUUGUGAAUAUUAGUUAGAUUUUACUUUGCAUAUAUUAUUUGAUAUUACAUACUUUAAUCAUGAAACAUCAAAUCAAAGUAUUUGUUGAUUUGUCAGAUCGAAUUUGAAGGAAUUAAAGGUAAAUUGACUCAUCAAAAGGUGGCGGAUCAAGCAUAUUAUCAAACAAGCCACCUUGUAAAUUUGGUAGUUUAUAUUCCGUUUGAACCGAGAAUUGUCGGAAACAAGUAAAAGAGACGAGAACUCGUCGGUGGAUCAAAACAAAGACGUUUAUUAGAUCAAAGAAUGUUUAGUCGGUUUACAAAUAAGGAAAUAUGCGGUAGAAAGCAAAUCGAUGAAAGUUAGUUCGCCGGGAAAUACAAGUCGGCGAGAAAGAAAAAUGAAACUUUAGUUCUAGCCGCCGAAAGUAUGUGUAGGCGAUUUCAAAUUCUCUUUUCGCUGCUUCUACCUCUCCUUAUGUAGACGUCUAGUCGAUGACCUAAUUCGCCCUCAUUCAAUGGGAUUUCCAUUCGUUGGGCCGAGCUAUCGGGCCUCUGCGUCGAGCCGUCGAGUCGACUACUUUCGGUCGCUCGUUCGAUCGACUAAAAGCAGUCUCGAGACGGUCUAUAAACUGGCAAACCGAGUCUCUUUCCUCUGAUUGUGGCCAGGCUAGCUAUUCUGUGGGCCUUGUGGUAGGAUAUGAUCCAUACUCAACAUAUUUCAUACGAAAACAUGUAGAUUUAGAUUGUAGUACUCGGAUAUUUAAUAACUAGCCAAAAAUAAUCCAUUGGAGUGUUUAUUGUUAUGAACAAUGUGGAUUGCUAGUAACCAUAUCAAGGAAGAACGGACCGCGUCCAGGCCCAAUGUCCAAGACCGCGUCCAAGAAGGAGAGAGAGGCGGCUAAAGAUUAGACCGUCUAUAGUAUAUGAUGAUUUCCUUUUCUCUUCAAGUUUAUCUUUAAGUAGAUUUCCUAUUUCCUUUAGGAUAAUGAUUUGUACUCUUUCCAUUUAUCUAUUCCUUGUAAUCCCUAUAUAAGGGAACACUUUGAUUGAGUAAUGAGAACAUACGAUUUCCCCUAUUGUUCACAACACGUUAUCAGCACGAUAGCCUCUAAAUUCCUGAGACCUAAAUCGAAACCUAAAAGCCUAUAACCGGCGACUCAAAACUAAAACUCUAAUCUCGUUCUUAGUUCAAUCAAGAACUCAAUUGAUUCCUCUUGAAACCUAGACGUUCUCAGAUCACGUUCUCAGCUCAGAAGAACCGCCCAGCUCGUGAUCAAACCCGUGACGCGAUCGACCCGAGACGACCCGAUCUCCGCGCAGCUCGCAGCCGAGACGCCUCCAGCCCGCGAUCGUUCCAUCCGCGACCCGAUAGGAGGCAGCAAGCGUCCAUUCUUCUCAGCUCGAUGUUUUAUCCAUUCUCAGGUGGUCCGGUUUUAAAUCCCCUACGAAACAAAGGUAUAAACAUAAUCUGAGAACCUAGAUAAAGAACAUAAACCCUAAUCCAUCAUUAUGGAAACUAUAUUCUCAAUGAAACCCUAAAAGAAACCACAAGAUUAAAAUCGACAAGUCUUAAAACUAGAAAGAAUACGAUUCCAACUAGAAUAUGAUUGUAUGUUGAUUGAUUAAAUCUGAAACAUGACAGACCCUAAUAAAGGAAUCGAAAACCCUAAACCCUAAAGAAGCUAGAAUCCGAUUUUAAGAUUGAUCUUGCUUGUUUGAUUUCUUGCUUGAUUUGAGGUUUAGGAUUGUUGGAUUGUUUGAAAUAAUUUAGCUAAGUAUACAAAUACUUAAGGCCUAGAAACCUUAAACAUAAGGUUGAUAGAAUUUAAAAGAUUGAAAACCCUAGGUAUUAUAAAGUAAGAAUAAGUUUGAUUGCUUUACAUAAAUCCGAACAUGGUAUUGCAUUCAUAACUGAUUGUAACAAGAUCGACCAGCAUAUAGAUCACACGAAUUUAGGUUGACUGCAUUAGUAAACCUAUAUAGCCGUGUGGCUCAUGAUUGAUAGCACCAUGGUCGAUUAGUAUUGUUUUGAAUAUCAUAAAUGCGUAAGACGUGUUGUGGCCAAGCUUGCUUAUUAUCAUGCGGCCACCUGAUCACAUUAUGAACCUAAAAUUUAUAUGAUAAUGUGAUUCAGAUGUCGAAAAUAGCAAACAGAGACUACGCAGCCCUUAAUCUCUCCGGAGACAAUUACUUGCAGUGGGCACUAGAUACAAGGAUCAGUCUAAAGUCCAAGGGACUCGGUGAUACUAUCACCGAGGACAACAAUGAGAAUGAAAAGAAUAGAUACAGGGCCAUAAGCUUUAUGCGCCAUCAUCUCAUUGAAGGUCUUAAAGAUCAGUACAUGACAAUUGAAAAUCUACUAGAUCUUUGGAAUGCUUUAAAGCAUAGAUAUGAUCACCAAAAGAUGGUGUUGCUUCCAAAGGCAAGGCACGACUGGAUGCACCUAAGAUUCUUAGACUAUAAGUCAGUGGAUGAGUACAAUUCAGCCUUGUUCAAGAUAGUUUCAAUACUAAGUCUUUGUGGUGAAGAAGUAUCCGAUAUGAUGAUGCUUGAAAAGACCUAUACGACUUUCAAUCAGUCGAAUUUUGUAUUGCAAGAGCAAUAUAGAACAAAAGGUUUUGCCACAUAUACUGAUCUGAUCUCGUGUCUACUCUUGGCCGAGGCAAACAAUGAGCUCCUAAUGAAGAAUAGUGGAGCCAAACCGGCCGGGACAGCACCAUUACCCGAAGCCCAUGAGGUUGAAAAGAAAGAUCCCAAAGAGACCUACUACGCCCAAGACAACAGGAAACCAUACGGCAAUGGCCGUGGUGGAUACAAGAGGCGUAGGCGUGACAAUCAGAACGGUCGAGACAACUACUCAACCGGCCGAAAAGGAAACCACAAUAACCGUGGUCGUGGUUCCAAUUACGGUCGGGGUCGAGGCAGUUACGGCCGUGGACGAGGUGGCAUAUCCAAACCAUCUUACACGUCCAAGUCAGUAUGUCACAGAUGCGGGAUGGACAACCAUUGGGCCAAGAAUUGUAGAACUCCGAAACACUUGUGCGACCUCUACCAAGAGAGCAUCAAGAACAAGAACCCGGAGGCAAACAUGAUCCAAGAAAACGGUCAUGAUGACAAAGGAUAUGGAUAUGAUGCUGACAAUGAAUCCGACAAAGAUAACAAAGAUGACCUAAUGGAUUUCGAGACAUCCGAUUGUCUCAAGGACUAGUUUUCGAAUCACAUUGUCUUAUUGCUUUAUGUCUUUGAUUUGGUGUUUUUAUUUUAUGUAAUGACAUUUAUAAUAAUAAGAGUUUUAAAGAUCUUAUGAAGUCUCUAAAGUUUAGAAAUUUUUAUUUAUAAAAUGAAUGAUGAGAUGAGUAUACUUGUGGUGGAUAGUGGCACAAGUCAUACAAUACUUAGAGACAAAAGGUACUUCAUUAAUCUCAAAAUGCAAAAUGCAAAGGUACAUACCAUUGCGGGUGAGGCUAGCCUGAUUGAAGGUCACGGCCAAGCCUAUGUGUUGAUGCCGAAGGGCACUCACCUAGAGAUCAAAACCGCCUUGUAUUCCCCAAGCUCUAGAAGAAGCUUAUUGAGUUUCAAGGAUAUAAGAUUGAAUGGUUUCCAUCUUGAAACAUGGGAAGAAGGAAACAAAGAGUUCCUUAACAUAACUUCGAUCACCAAAGGCAAUAAAAAGAUCCUAGAGACUAUGCCCACAAUAUCUACUGGUCUAUACUAUGCAAGGAUCAGUAUGAUCGAGGCAAAUGCCUCCGAGCUAUUUACUUUAUGGCAUAACCGGCUUGGCCAUCCCGGAACAGGAAUGAUGCGAAAAUUGAUGAUGAAUUCACAAGGGCACACGUUUAAAGGAGUGAUCCCACGCAAUCUCACAUGUGCAGCAUGUGCACAAGGGAAACUCAUAACUAGGCCAUCACCAGCCAAGGUUAAUAAAGAAACCUUAAACUUUCUGGAAAGGAUUCAAGGAGACAUAUGUGGACCAAUACACCCACCUUGUGGGACGUUUAGAUACUUCAUGGUCCUCAUUGAUGCAUCGACCAGAUGGUCGCAUGUGUGUCUACUAUCCACUCGGAACCUAGCCUUUGCACGGCUGCUUGCUCAGAUGAUAAGGCUGAGAGCACACUUUCCAGACUUCCCUCUUAAGACUAUACGUCUAGACAAUGCUGGUGAGUUCACGUCCCAAGCGUUUAAUGAAUACUGUAUGUCCAUGGGGGUAAGAGUAGAACACUCCGUGGCACAUGUCCAUACGCAGAACGGCUUGGCCGAAUCCUUCAUUAAACGUAUCCAGCUGAUAGCCCGGCCAUUGCUAAUGAAGUCUCAACUUCCGGUAUCAGCAUGGGGACAUGCAGUUUUACAUGCAACGGAACUGAUUCGCAUCAGGCCAUCUAGUGAGCAUAGAUAUUCACCAUCCCAACUACUUACGGGUCAUGAGCCAGACGUGUCCCACAUCAAGACAUUCGGAUGUGCCGUCUACGUUCUAAUUGCUCCACCACGGAGAACUAAGAUGAGACCACAAAGGAGGAUGGGAAUAUACGUAGGAUAUGAUUCCCCAAUCAUUAUAAAGUAUCUUGAGCCAACAACCGGUGAUUUGUUUAAGGCCAGAUACGAAGACUCACAGUUUGAUGAGUCCACAUAUCCGUCCUUAGGGGGAGAUAACAGCCGGUUGAUAACAAAAGAUUUAGAAUGGUUUAGACCAUCAACAUCUGGGCAAGAUCCUCGGACUAAAGAUUGUGAUUUAGAAGUCCAAAAGAUUAUACAUCUUCAAGACCUAGCUAAUAGACUGCCAGAUACAUUUGCUGACCCAAAUAGAGUAACAAUAUCACACAUCCCGGCUUGUAAUGCACCUAUAAGAUUAGACGUCCAAGAUGGACAAUGUCAAGUGGCUACAGAGUCUAAGCAACGUUUAAAACGUGGUAGACCAAUUGGUUCCAAAGACAAACAGCCUCGGAAAUCCAAAAGAGGUGCUGGAUCCGAGAGCAUCAAGGAAACCGUCCAGGACAUAGAUGGACCGGUCGAGCCGACCAGAACGGUCGAGCCAAGCGUUCCGGCCACACCCGAUGAUCCGACCGUUCCUCAAAGUGAGGUCCAGGACGCUGGACUUCACGGGACACAAGAGCCGGACAACCAAGAGAUCUCCAUAGACCAUGUAAUGUCUGGAAAACAAUGGAACAGAAAAGAUAUCAACGUUGAUGAUUUAUUUGCAUACAAGGUAGCACUUGAGAUCAUGGAUAAAGAUGAGGAUCUAGAACCCACGUCCAUACAAGAAUGCAUGCUAAGAUCAGAUUGGAUCAAAUGGAAAGAAGCUACAAACGUGGAGUUAGAAUCAUUGAGAAAGAGAGGCGUUUUUGGCCCUAUAAUCUUGACACCAAGAGAUGUCAAACCAGUGGGAUACAAAUGGGUCUUUGUAAGGAAGAGAAAUGAGAAAGGAGAAGUAGUGAGAUACAAAGCACGGCUUGUAGCACAAGGAUUCUCACAAAGACCAGGAAUAGACUAUGAGGAGACUUACUCCCCUGUGGUGGAUGCAACUACAUUAAGAUAUCUAAUCAGUCUGGCCGUGAAAGAAAACAUUGAUUUACGCCUAAUGAAUGUAGUAACUGCAUACUUAUACGGACCACUGGAUAAUAAAAUACAUAUGAGAGUUCCAGAGGGUAUUGAGCUCAAAGAUAAGAAAGGUUCUCGAGAACAACAUUGCAUUAAGUUGAAUAAAGCCUUAUAUGGUUUAAAACAAUCAGGUCGAAUGUGGUACAAUAGAUUAUCCGAGUACCUAAUGAAAGAAGGGUAUAAGAAUGAUCCAAUAAGUCCAUGUAUAUUCAUAAAGAAAUUCAAAAGCAAGGGCUAUGUUAUAAUGUCAGUUUAUGUGGACGACCUGAAUAUAAUAGGAACCCCUGGAGAGAUUUCCCAAACCGUAGAAUGUCUAAAGAAAGAAUUCGAGAUGAAAGACUUAGGGAAAACUAAGUUCUGUUUGGGAUUACAGUUUGAGUAUAAAGAGAAUGGCAUCCUUGUGCACCAAGAAACUUAUACAGAAAAGAUACUCAAGCAAUUUAAUAUGGACCAGGCUCACCCCUUACCGUGUCCUAUGGUCGUAAGGUCCUUAGACAUUGAGAAGGAUCCAUACGGACCUAAGAAACCGCACGAGGAAGCACUCGGAUCGGAGGUGCCUUACCUAAGUGCCAUUGGAGCCUUAAUGUACUUGGCUAGUCAUACUAGACCGGACAUAAGCUUUGCCGUGAGCUUACUAUCUAGAUUUGGUUCAUGUCCGACCUUAAGGCACUGGAACGGAGUGAAACAUCUGUUCAGGUAUCUGCAAGGAACAAAAGAUCUCGGUUUGUUCUACACCAACCGACCAGGAGAGAGCAUGGUCGGAUAUGCAGAUGCUGGGUACUUAUCUGACCCACACCAGGCUAGAUCUCAAACAGGAUAUGUGUUCACACAUAGUGGAGCCGCAAUAUGCUGGCGUUCAACAAAGCAAUCCUUGGUGGCCACAUCAUCUAAUCACGCCGAGAUCAUAGCCAUGUAUGAAGCAAGCUGUGAGCUUGUUUGGUUGAGGAACAUGACCGGCCAUGUCUUAAGAGAGAGUGGUCUGGCCGUGGGACAAGAGAAGGAGGAGCCAAUGAUCAUCUACGAGGACAAUGCAGCGUGCAUUGCUCAGCUCAAGGAAGGAUACAUCGAGGGAGACAGGACAAAGCACAUCCUGCCCAAGUUCUUCUUCACCCACGACUUGCAGAAGGCAAAGGAGGUUCAAAUAGUUCAAGUUCGAUCCAGUGACAACUCAGCCGACCUCUUCACCAAGUCUCUACCAACCUCAACGUUCAGGAAGCUGGUUCAUCAGAUAGGGAUGCGCCGGCUGAAGGAUCUUCAGUGAUGCCUUCAUCAGGGGGAGUGUCAUGCGUUGUACUCUUUUUCCUGUCUAUGGUUUCCAUUUUUCCCACCUUGGGUUUUUGGUUUUCCUAGAGAGGUUUUAACGAGGCAACAUCGUGCAUGAAACGAGCCCAUAUGGUUAUAGCAUCCAAGGGGGAGUGUUAUGAACAAUGUGGAUUGCUAGUAACCAUAUCAAGGAAGAACGGACCGCGUCCAGGCCCAAUGUCCGAGACCGCGUCCAAGAAGGAGAGAGAGGCGGCUAAAGAUUAGACCGUCUAUAGUAUAGGAUGAUUUCCUUUUCUCUUCAUGUUUAUCUUUAAGUAGAUUUCCUAUUUCCUUUAGGAUAAAGAUUUGUACUCUUUCCAUUUAUCUAUUCCUUGUAAUCCCUAUAUAAGAAAACACUUUGAUUGAGUAAUGAGAACAUACAAUUUCCCCUAUUGUUCACAACAUUUAUUUGAUUGUGUUUUUUGAUUAGAUUAUCUUACAUAAUAUCAGUAUCAUCGUGUAAUAUUUUUGAACUUUGAUUAGAUAUGAUGCGUCUGGUCAUCCGUAAACCUCUUACGUGAGAUGGAAACACGAAUUUUUAUGAUUUUUCUUUUUGCUUUUUGGAUUAUGACUUUCAAUUUAGGAUGAUCUUUUUUUUUAUUACAAGAGCAAAAUCUUUGACUGAUGUAGUGAUGUUACAUGCAUUACAAGUGAGAUUAUUUGAGGAAUUUUUUUUUUUGUCAUCGAUUAGAUUUGAGGAAUUUGUAUCAUUAAUAUGAAUUUAAGGGAAAAAAUCACCUCGAAUAAUUUUUUCUUCUCCUCGAAUAGUUAGGUAGUAUGCAUACUUAUUCUUAUAUGUUUGGCUUAACGAGCAAUAGAGACGAUGAACUUUUCAAAUUCGGCAUCUUGAAGAUGACUACAAGUCUACGAGCUAUAGUAAUAGUUUCUUUUUUCAACAACUAUUCAUUCGAUGUGGUUGUGAUUCGAACGAUGUCGUGUAUUAGACUCCUUACUUGUAGACCUUCCUCGUUAUUUCCAAUAAAAUAUUUGAAAAAGAGAAAAAAGAAACCAAUUGAAGUGCAUAGAUAGAGAGACCCAAAAGGAAAAUGCCAAAUGAAUCAAUCUCAUAAAGAAAAGUAGAGGGUAGGGGUCCACUGUAGAUGUGCUCACAUACAUGCUCCACGAACUUCUGUUCCUUUUUAAUUUAAUUUAAUUUUUAUCUAUUUGGAUGAAUCAUUUUAUGCAUCUUAUCUAUGAGACUAUGACCAUCAUCACACAUACUUAUUUACAUUUAUUUAUACAUUUCUCUUCUUUUGCGCCUAUAAAUAGCAACCCUCUCUCAUUCUCUUAAGUACUGUCACAUCAAAAUAAUCAAACAACUAGCUACUUCAACCAAAUACUUUCAAAGAAGAGAGAGAGAUGGAGAAGAACAUUAAGUUUCCAGUUGUAGACUUGUCCAAGCUCAUUGGUGAAGAGAGAGACCAAACCAUGGCUUUGAUCAACGAUGCUUGUGAGAAUUGGGGCUUCUUUGAGGUACAAGCAUAUAUGUGAUUAUAUCUAGCUUUUUUGAGUUUGUGUACUUAAUUGGUAAUGUGGAUCUUUUUGUUUGGUGGUUAACUUGAUUUUCCAGAUAGUGAACCAUGGUUUACCACAUGAUUUGAUGGACAACGUCGAGAAGAUGACAAAGGAACAUUACAAGAUAUCAAUGGAACAAAAGUUCAACGACAUGCUCAAAUCAAAAGGUUUGGAAAAUCUUGAGAGAGAAGUUGAGGAUGUUGAUUGGGAAAGCACUUUCUACCUUCGUCAUCUCCCUCAGUCCAAUCUCUACGACAUUCCUGAUAUGUCUGAUGAAUACCGGUACAUAUAUAUUUUUUCUUCAUAAAAUCAACUUUAAAUCAUAUGUUAUGGUAACCAAAAAAUAUCAUAUGUUAUAUCCCCUUUAAAAGGGCCACUCUGCCACUUUUACCUAUAUUAAAAAGAUUUUUGUGAUAUUUUAUUUCUAAACAAAAUAACUAUACUUUGUUAGUUAGUAAAAACAGUUUUAAGGAAUUUGUUUCACUUUAGAACCUCUAAUCCUUUUUGUGUAAUGAAAAUAAAGUUGAGAAGAAACGUCUAAAAAUUUAACACACUUAUUUGAAAGAGGCAUACUGAAAUGUUUUUAUUUUGCAGGACGGCCAUGAAAGAUUUUGGGAAGAGAUUGGAGAAUCUUGCUGAGGAUUUGUUGGAUCUAUUGUGUGAGAAUUUAGGGUUAGAGAAAGGGUACUUGAAGAAAGUUUUUCAUGGAACAAAAGGUCCAACCUUUGGGACUAAGGUGAGCAACUAUCCAGCUUGUCCUAAGCCAGAGAUGAUCAAAGGUCUUAGGGCCCACACUGAUGCAGGAGGCAUCAUCUUGUUGUUUCAAGAUGACAAGGUCAGUGGUCUCCAGCUUCUUAAAGAUGGUGACUGGAUUGAUGUUCCUCCACUCAACCACUCUAUUGUCAUCAAUCUUGGUGACCAACUUGAGGUAUGAAUAUGUUCACACCACAUUUUCAAAAAAAUCUCUUGUUAAAAAAUCCAAUGUUCGGUAUUGAGUAUUGGUUUGGUUCGGGUUUGAUGUAACUGGGAAAAAUGAUUAGUAAAUGUUAUAACAGAGCUUAUUAAACUAGAAGAGCAACGUUUCCAACCUCAAAUGGCUUUGGGACAUUCAUUUGUAUUGUUCUCAAAUGGUUUCUUUGGAAAAGGCUAAGGUUUAACUGGAAAAUAUUUUCCUUAUUGAAUGUAGGUGAUAACCAACGGCAGGUACAAGAGUGUGAUGCAUCGUGUGGUGACUCAGAAAGAAGGAAACAGAAUGUCAAUUGCAUCUUUCUACAACCCGGGAAGCGAUGCUGAGAUCUCUCCAGCUUCAUCGCUUGCCUGUAAAGAAACCGAGUACCCAAGUUUUGUUUUUGAUGACUACAUGAAGCUCUAUGCUGGGGUCAAGUUUCAGCCUAAGGAGCCACGGUUCGAGGCAAUGAAGAAUGCUAAUGCAGUUACAGAAUUGAACCCAACAGCAGCCGUAGAGACUUUCUAAAAACAAAGUGGAGUUUGAGCGAAAGCAAAGAAACAAAAAUGUGUUUUGUGUUGUGUGUUUACGUCAAUAAGUUAAAGACUGAUAUUAUUGUUGAUAUAAUUAAGAUGUCUGGUGGUUAAUUGUUGGUCAAUGGUGUGUUUAAAGUGUGGGGUGUUUAUUUAUGUUUAUGGAAGAUGAUAAUAAUAAUAAAAAUAAAUAAUAUGAUAACUGUUCUAAGAGAUCUAAUGUGUUUAUCAUCAAAUCAAGUGAAGCUCUUUGUUUCAUAAAUCCGAAGCUUAAAAUCAAUGAAUCUAAAUAAGGUUUGUCCUCACAGCAGAAACAAAAACAAAACAAAGAUUGUUUGAAAAUUUUACAAAACAAGUUCCCUAAAAAAUUCAUCACUUUUGAGGUGAAAAUUAUUCGUCACAAUCAUCAUAUCCAACAUAAGUUACAAAUGGUUAAAUCUUCCCACAUUUUUGAGGUUAAUUUUGUAAUCACAAACCAUUUAUAAUUCGAGAAUCGGUUUCCGUUUCAUAGCACAUGACAUCAAAUCUCUAGUUAACCUAUUAGAGCCAGGUUACCAAAAUGAAAAAGUGGAACUUUGUACGAAGGAGAUGACAAAAUGUAUUUAUGAAACGUUCUCUUAACAUUCACGAUUACAUUAGAGUUCAAAUGUACAAGGACUGAAAACCUUACAGGACAUGUCCUGAUCAUAAGUCAGACGAACAAUCAAAGGCUACAAAUGAAUUUGACAGCUCAGUUAAAUUUCUUUACUGGAUCUGUUAUUCAAAAACAUUUCUAACAAAUUUUAGCCCAUUUUAAUAAUAGGCUCACAAACAUCAUUAUUAAUUAUUUUUGAGCUGAAAAAAUCACAGGCCCAUCACUGAAACGAAAGGAGUAACCCAUCAUUUAGGACAUACAAGCUUUUACGUGUAGGGUCUCAGGUCAUCAAAUACCAAACAAGUUUCCGCUGCUUCAACGUGGUUCCGUUGUGGGUCACCACGUGUAGAAAUCCACUUGGUAAACAUAUUUUAUCUGAAUGAUAAUAAUUUAGUACGAAAAGGUCGCGAAUUGGAUCACUCACGGAUUGUUCACGAAUGGUUGUCGCUAAGUACAGUAAUACUUCGCCUUUUGCACAGUUGCUUCCGUUCACAUUACCUAACUAAUUCCCACAAAGAAAAAUGUCAUCUAAAUUAUCAACUUUUGUUAUAAAUCAAUUGAUAGAUGUCUAUAACCGGCCCGAUCCAUAACCGGUCCAUACACUUAGAAAGAGAGACGGCCCAACCCUAGAGAUAGAGAGAGAGGCGGCUUAUGCUUUGGAAAAAAGGAAACUCUAUUUCAUUUUCUUUGUAAUUGUUAUCUUUCCAUUAUUAUGUAUUAGUAGUUUUCCUAAUCCUAGUUGGUUUAGGUUUUUGGAUACUUUCUUUUUUCUAUGACUUGUAAUCCUUAUAUAAAGGAACCCAUGUUAUGAUUAAUAAUACACAGAACUAUUCAGUCUUCAAUCUUCUAAUUAUAACACGUUAUCAGUACGAACGUUCUCUAAACUCCCUGAGCCUAAAUCGCCAACCACCUAAAACCUAACCUUGCCGACGAUCGCACCUAAACCCUAACCCGAUCGCAUACCGUCCGUUCCAGCAAGCAUUACCGUCUCAGCCUCAUCCGAUCUCAGCUUAAGACGAUCCCAUCCGUCCUCAGCUUGCAUCUCGGACAUCUCCAGCUCGCAAUCCCGACCAGCAGCUUGCGAACCCGAUAGGAAGCAGCUCGCGAACCCGAUAGGAUGCAGAUGCGUCUCGUUCCUGCUCGCGUCCAGCUCGAGGUUCAUCCGUUCUCUUUGGUGGUCCGGUUUCAUCCCUACAAACAAAGGUAUAUCGAUUAAAUCUAAGAACAUAAUGAUCAAACCCUAAAACCCUAAUCCAUUAUUAUGGAAAUCCUAUGUUCUUGAUCAAACCCUAAAAAUUGGUAUAACCUAAAACUGAUCAUCUUAUAAUCACUAGAUUGAAAUCGAUUCCAUUAGAACAUGUUGAUUGAUUGUUCUGAUCUGAAUUAUGAAAACCCUAAAUCUUGGAAUCGAAAACCCUAAAACCCUAAAGCUUGAAACCGAUUUUAAAUUGUCCUUGCUUGAUUGAAUGAUUGAUAAUCUGAGUUUUAAGAUUAAUAGAUUGAUUGAAUCUCAAAACUAAAAUCUUAAGGCCUUGAAACCCUUAACCUCAUGUUUAAAACACUAAAUCUCGUUUUAAAUUUCUAAAGGCCUUGAAACCUUAAAUCUCAUAUUGCUUAAAAUUUGAAUGAUUGAUUUGAGGUUUAGGAUUGAUUACAUAUUGAAUGAGAGUUAGGUUGCUAGAUUAUUUGAUUCUGAAACUCUAAAUCCUAGCCGCAUAUUACCAGCCUUGAAAUUGGUAAAACCCUAAUUGAUAUGCAACUGAAUGAUAAGAUUGAAUGCAUCUAAAUUGAUUAUCCUUGUUUGCAUUAUAUUCUGUUGUGGCCGUGUGAUUUUGCUAUGAACCAUACCGAACGGCCAUGUGGCCUAACCAUUUUGAUGCAUUGUUCAUACUCGCGGCCUUGUGCCCUUGAUAGAUCACAUUGUUUGCAUCAUGUGAUUGAAAGCCGUGUGGCUUAAUGCAUCAUAGCUUAGCAGUGUGGCCUAGAGAGACACCAUAUCUGAAUGGUCGUGUGACCUUGCUUGCAUAUCUCAUGAACCGAUCUCUAGGAUCGUUGUAUCACAUUACAUGGUCGUGUGGCCUAAGCAUCACAUAUAGACCUAGCAUUCUCGACUUGUUUCGCACCAUGAUCGAGUAGUAAAGUGUUUUGGUCGAGAUACUUAUGAAAUCAUAUGCACUGAUUAUUUUUAAUUGGUUGCAUCCUAAAUCAUGAAUUGAUUGAUAAUAUGGUUUCAAAUGCCGAGAUUUGAGCCUUUGGAUUAUGCCAUUCUAAAUCCCUCUGGAGAAAAUUAUCUAGAAUGGUCAAUGAACACUUCAGUUGUCCUGAAAUCAAGAGGACUCGAAAGGAGUAUCAUUCAGGGUAAUUAUGCAACUGAAAGUGAAAAGCGUAGGGCCAUAAAAAUUAUGCGCCAUCAUCUCACUGAGGAUCUAAGAAAUCAAUACCUAAAUAUUGAGAAUCCUCGUGACUUUUGGACAUAAUUAAAAUCCAGAUACACAAUGGUGUUAUUACCAAAGGUCAGGCAUGAAUGGAUGAGUCUCAGAUUCCAGGACUUUGAGUCUGUGGAUGAAUAUCAUUUUGCUUUGUCCAAAAUUGUUUACAAACUGAGACUAUGUGGUGAAGUGGUAACAGAGGAGGAUUUACUGGAAAAGACCUUCCUCACAGCCGAUCCAAGAGAUCUAUUGUUACAAAAUAUCUAUAGAGAAAAAGGUUUCACCACCUAUAAUGAUCUGCUCUCAUGCCUAACUGAGCACAAUAAUCAGUUGCUAAAAAGAAAUAGUGAGAUGAAAUAUCCUGAAGCAAAUAAGACUGAUAUGGAUCAGGAUGAAUCCAAGGCAGCCGUGUCCAAUGUAACUGAUGGUGUGGCUGGCAUGUCUAUUGACUAAAGAAAGAUCUCGACAUGCUAAUUGUGUUUUAAGUCUUUGAUUUGUGUUUUGUUUUAAACAUAAUUGUCAUUCACGAUUUUAUAUAUAAUAAUAGAAUUGAUUUGAGUUCAUUACUAUUAUAUCUUGCUUGAUCUUACUUGAUAAUGUGAAUGAUUGAUAAAGAAAUCGCCUAAAAGGCAUUAUGGUACGGUAUAGUAGCCUAGUAAGAAAUCUAUGGCUAAGGCAUUGCCUAAAGGGCAUUAUAUACACCCAAGAAUAUAUGACCCAUUGAGUUAAUAUGGUUUCCAAAUAGAAACAAUGGGCAAAAGGAAACAAGUUCCUUCAGAUUUAAGAAAGAAAGAAAACGCCUAAGACCCUUUAAGAAAGUGGUCAAGACUAUAUCUAUGUAAUCUACUGAUCAAAACUAUGCUACAUAUCAGUAUGAUAAGAGGCAAGAGUCAUGGUGAUCAUACUGAUAUAUCCCACGAAAAUUAUACACUUUAUCGCAAGACCGGAUUAGCCAUCCUAGUCUAAACUUGAUGCAAAGAUUGAUAUUGAGAAGGCACAAAGAGUUAUCCCAUAAGAUCUCGCGUUGUGAAACAUAUACACAAAGGAAAACUCAUUAGGCUUUAUUGUCCUCAGCAUCACGAAAUUAUAGUAUGUUCAUGAGGGGGAGAGAGGAUAAACCCGUGAUACAUGAUCAAUACUAUAAAUUCGUGAACCAUGGUCUAUGACCAUGAUAUAAACGGCUUGGUCGUGCAGUCCAUUACCUAUAAGGAUCGGACAUCCAUCCUAAAGCUUAGGGACAUCAUGGAUUUACAUGUAUAUAAAGUAAAAAUAUAUCAGGCCAUAUAAGUGAGCAUAGAUAUUCCCAUAUCAGAUUGAAUACGGGUCAUAAACCAGACAUACACCAUCUUAAGAGACUUUGAAUAAACCACCACAAACAUAUGUGUCGUCUAAGAUGGAACCUCAGAAGAGGAUUGGGAGUAUAUGUUGGAUAAGAAUAUGUCUUUCUCCCACGACUUCUAAGAGACCUUGAGCCAAAUAUGGGUGAUCAGAAAGUGGCCAGGUACACGGAUUGCAUGAUCAAUGAAUCCGACUAUCCAACAUUAAAAGGAGAAAUCUAUAAGCUGGUAAAGAGUAAAGAAUGAUAAGAAACAUAAUGGUAUCAACCAUCAUUGUCUUGGCAAAGAUCCUCGGAUUAGACUUAUAGACGUCCAAAGAAAGAAAAGAUUAUACAUAGCUAGCUAAUCAAGAUGCCAGACACUGACCCGAAAAGAAAAGAAAAGAAUGACUAAGUCAUAACCAGCUUAGCACCAAACGAAAUCUGAUGUCCUAGAAAGAGACACAGUCAAGUUGCUACAGAGUCUAUACAAGAUAGACCAAAGUGUUCCAUAAGAUAAGGAACCUCGGAAAGAAAAAGAGAAAGGUGCAUAGAAUACAAAUCCGAGGUCAUAAGGAAACCAGACCAGACAUUGAGAAAAGGCUGCGCAGCUAAACAUCUAAGGUACCAAACCAUGUAGUUUGGGACGCCAAGCUACUAGGUAACAAAGGUCCUGGAUAAUGAAAUCUCAAAUCGAUUAGAUCAUGUCUGGAACACAAUGGAACCAUAUAUAAGUGUCGACACAUUAAGAUAUAUUUGUACAUAAGAGAGUAGCACUUGAACAAAAAUAUAUAAACGAGGAUCAGAACCCACGAAAGAGUACUCAUAAAGAUUAAAAAUUAGAUUGAAAAGAUAAACGUGGGGUUUAAAGUAUCUAUAGAGAAAGAUAGGCGUAUUGGCCACAUACAUAUAUACAGAAACGCCAUCUGAUAUAAACCAGUGAAAUAGAUGGGUCUUGUGAGGGAAAAGAAACUGUGAGAUAUGGUACAUGAUCACAAGGUCUAAAGGUGUUCAUGUUUCCUACUAACAGCAUUCGAUCAUUGCUUGUUACACAAGGAUACUCACAGAGACCAUGGAACAGAUUAUAAGGAGAUAAACUCCUAUGUGGUGGAUGCUGCUACAUAUUUUCGAAUUGAUAAAGGUCUGGUCAUAAGAAAGAAAUUAGAUUGACAUAUCAAGAUGUAGUAAGCAGCAUAUGGAUCACUGGUUAAAGAACAACAUUGUUCCUAAGCUGUUUAUGGACUGAAACAAAGCAGUUGCAUAUAGCAUGAAAAUGAGUUAUAUAAGAACAAUCCAAUUCAGUCCAUAUAUACUUAUAAAAGAAAUUUGAAUUCCUUGUGUUUACUUUAUACGAAACCAGCCUAAAGAAAGGUUAAUUGGUUGAUACGGAUUAUUUAUUAAAUCUCAGACCAUCGCUGCAACACUAGCCAAGAGAAUUUAUAGUUGAAGUUGAUAUAUCAACAUGGACCGACCAGAUUGUAGUAUGGCUAGUGGAAAAUAAAGAUCAGCUAUCAUAUGGCAGUCCAUAAGCACGUGUGGUCGAGGUCCAUGACCUAAUAUAUAUUCAAGUGCGUGGUAUGAUCCACGGCAAGAAAGGUCAUGGGACGCCAUCAAGAUAUAAAUAUAGGACUGCAAUAUCUAAUGUAUGUGGCAUUGCCGAAGGCAAGAAGAAUCGAUAGCCAUGUAUGAGGUCCAUGAGUGUAUUUUGGCCGCAGAGACAUAGUUUGAUGAGAUUGAGAAACUCAUUGCGGCAAUGAUUAUUGAUCACAUCAUGAUCUUAGACACUCAUGAGACAAGUUAUGGACAUGUAUAGACGAGGUCUAUGACUCAACAUGGAUCGAUCAGAUUAGAGUAUGGCUGAUGAUAAUAAAGAAGGAUCAAACUGUGAUGGACAAGAAAUUGGUGCAUAUGGUCAAUAUACAUCCGUGUGGAGAAGAUGCACCAGAACAUAGGCUUACGACCUGAAAUUACAAGUUCAUGGUACCAUGCUCAGUCUAUAUUAUCUAUGAGUAUGUUUAGUCGAGAUCUGUUCGACAAAAGUUUAGAGUGGUCGACAGCAAAGACUCACGUCUUGUCCAUGCACACACGAGUUUUCAGAAAACAUGAGAAAAAGACCGGAGAGGUCAAAGUGAUCCAAGUAUGGUCCAGUGAUAACUCGGCCGAUUUGUUCACUAAGGCACUUCCUACCUGUACGUUCAGGAAGCUCACGCAUCAGAUUGGGAUGCGUAGGCUGAAAGACCUCCACUGAGGUUCGUAUCAGGGGGAGUAGUACGUGUUGUACUCUUUUUCCUUCAUCAUGUUUUUUUCCCACUGGAUUUUUCAUGAUAAGGUUUUAAUGAGGCAACAUUAAGUGUAUUACAAUCCCUAAAUGGUUAUGGCAUCCAAGGGGGAGUGUUAUAAAUCAAUUGAUGGAUGUCCAUAACCGGUCCGGUCCAUAACCGGUCCCUACACUUAGAGAGAGAGACGGCCCAACCCUAGAGAGAGAGAGGCGGCCGUGACCUUAGGAGAGAGAGAGAGGCGGCUUAUGCUUUGGAAAAAAAGAAACUCUAUUUCUUUUUCCUUGUAAUUGUUAUUUUUCCAUUAUUAUGUAUUAGUAGUUUUCCUAAUCCUAGUUGGUUUAGGUUUUGGAUACUUUCCUUUUUCUAUGACUUGUAAUCCUUAUAUAAAGAAACUCAUGUUAUGAUUAAUAAUACACAGAACUAUUCAGUGUUCAAUCUUCUAAUUAUAACAACUUUCAAAAUUUUCAAAUUUAGUUGAAAUAAUUCAUCAAUUUUCUAUAAACAAAAAAAAAUUCAAAUUUUAUGGACAAACUAAUUUAAUCAUAAACUUCCGUUGACUAUAAAACAGUUUAACCGUAACUUCAAUCAGAACUUAUAGUUGAAAAACAAUAAGUCUGUAAUGACUUUUAAAAUUGAUUUUUUUUGCACAAAUAUAAAUCAACAUUUUUUCAAAAUAUUGGAUUAUAAAUAUUGAAAAAUAUAUUUUUGAUAACUCAACACUAACAAAAUAAAAUUAUAAAUAAGAAAUAAUUCAAACAAAAUAUAAACAUUUUUAAUUUCGCAAUAGAAAAUUUUCUAUAUUUUCAUUUAUAUUAUAAAUAAUUAGUUAACAUAUCAUUAAUUGAAUAUCGAGUUAUAAAGAUCUUUAAUUGAGUAUCUAGUUAUAAGAAAAAAGUUAUUAGUUGAUAAAUUCUUCAUGAUCCUUUAUGUCUAUAAAUGUGUUAAAAGAUUAUUUCUGCAUUUAAUGAAAAUAAGAUUUACCGAAAACUGUUAUCAUCCAAAAUGUUGCUACAUCAAUGGAAUCAUGAAUAAUCCAUUUUUCAUUAAUUUUAUUCUUCUGGAAAUUAAAAAUAUAUAAUAAUAUUUUACAUACAAAAUACAAAUUUUGCCAACAAAAUAAUGAAACAUAAUCCAAUUAGAACUAAAUGAAUAGGCACUAAAAGUGACAUAAUUUCGUAAAUAUUAUCAUAAAUAAUUAUAAAACUUCUUGAUAGUUAUUUAAUAAAUAAUUAGUAAACUAAUAAUAUAUUCACUAACUAUUUUGUAAUAUAAAUUAAAUUAUAAAUUUCAUUUUGAAGAAAUAGUGAAAGGUUAUAUAUUAUUUAUUAUAUAUUUGUAUUUAUAAGUGUUAUAUUGGGCUUUUGGCAAAAAUGACUCAAAACUCAAAGUCAAACACAAAACUAAUCCAUGACUUUUUUUUUUGAAUUUUCAUUUGCCCUAUUCACCCCCAAAAGUUCGGAUUAUUCACGAAAAUACCAUUAUUUUUUAUAAACAAUUUCAAAAAUAGUUGUUUUACUCAAUCAUCCUCAUCUUCCUUUUUAUUUACAAUAUUGUCAUUGUUAUCAAUACAUCAACCACCAUGAACAAUAAUUUCAAGCUCUAAAUGCACCUAAAAUCAACAUCUAUAUUUUCAUAUUCUUAUUUCUUACAUACACAAACCAUUUCCCUUUCACUUCAUCUUUUAUUUCAUCCCAAAAUUCCAAUUUUUUAUUUCAAAAUUUAUAAGCUUACUAGAGUUACUCAAGUUCUUGAUUUUUGGCCAGGAACGAGUGAGUAACUUUCAUUAAGAAAUGAUGUGUGCUUGGAGAAGUUAAACAUGAACCUCAUUGAAUCUAAGAAUGAUAUUUGAAUUUUGUUUCCAUAUAUAUUCGCUAGAAGACUUCCGUGUAAAAAUUCUACAACAAGAAGACUUAUACGAAAGUCUUCUAGUCAAUGCAGAUGUUAGUUUUGCAAUCAACUUUAUGUCUUUUUUUAGAGAUGACUUCUCUCGAAGCCUUCCAACUUUAUUUUGUUAACAAAAAAACCCCGAAAAAUACCAGAGAAGACUUACCCUUAAGUCUUCUAGGAUAAAUAUGUUAGUUUUGCAAUUGACUCGUAAGUCUUCUCUAGUAUUUUCAAGAUUUUUUCAAAAACAAAAGUAAAACAAUAUUUACAAAGGAAAACUUCCAAAGAAGUCUGCUGUAGAGUAGACUUCUCUGGAAGUCUUCCUUUGUAAAUUUUCAAUUGCAAAAAUGACCUAAAUGAAAGACUUCAUAGAAGUCUUCUGGACGACUUCUUUGAAAGUCUUCUAUGUCAGUGUUUAGUAAAAUUUUAUUUUCUCUAAAAAUAUAAUGACUUUUUAACAUUUUCUUGUUAAUUCAUGUAUAUUAGUCAAUUUUGGGGCUCCUGAAUGAAAUUCAUAACUUAAUUAGUUUUAAUUAUGAGGUUACCAACAUUCAUGUUAAUUAAUGUUUCUAGCUAAUUCCAGAAGACUUGUUUGCAAGUCUUCUACGUUAAUUUUUGUAAAUUUGUUAAGUAACUUUUAGAUAUGUUUUUUCACUUUCAAAAGUGUUAAGUAACUUCAAGAAUAUUAAGUCAUAUGGUUUAAUGUGUCUUCUUAGAUCAUAAGAUAUACACUAUAACUUUCAUGAAAUUUAAUAGUUCAGUUUUCAUUUAAAAUUUGAGUUUUCCCGCUUAUAUUUUAAAUGCUCGCUUAAAAUUUAAGUCUUCCGAGGAUUUACCGGAAGACUUCUAGUGAAAGUGUUAUAUGUUCUUAUCUUAUGUAAUUUUUUAAUUUUUGUGAAUUUAACUAUGUUUUUUUAGAAGUCUUCUCCCUUAGUUUAAGAAAAUUUGACUAAUUUUUUGUGUUAUUGUGUUUUACUCUCGAAAUUGUAUAUAACUUAAUAACGUCAAGAUAAUACUGUACACAUGAACAUAUUUACAAACUUUUCAUUAAAUUCUCUUCAAAUUUGCAAAAGAAUCCAGAACUAAAAGAGUACACUUAUAAAUCACAACACAGUCCAUAAACAAAACUAUUACACUUGGAGUUAGAAAUCAUUCCUCCACAUAGAUAAGUUUGGACUCCACAUGACAUACACAUCGUAAAAUUUGAUAGUCCUCAUGUUCAGGUUUCAGGUUUUUGAAGACUCUGUGGAAGACUUCUAGGAAGCCUUCCACGAAGAUUUCAUGGAAGACUUCCAGGAAGUCUACCUCAAACUUGAAACUUCCAUCAGCUUCAACACACUCAGAUCUGCUUACCAGAUGAUCAGACAACUCCUCCACUUUGAUAGCUCCAGAUCUGAAAUUAAAUCAAAGAUUCAUAACAUAAUUUGGAGAAAAAUAAAAGUUUUAAGUAACAAGAGGUUACCAAAUGAAGAAAAAUCAUAGAUGGAGACUUACUAAAAUGCCCAGAUCUGUUAUGAAAAAGAAGACAUAAGAGAAGACUCCGUUAGAAGACUUCCAAGAAUUUUUCUAGUGCAUUAUAUAUUAGAAUACUUAUGAGAAGACUUCCCUGGAAGUCUUCCAAAGUUUGGCUCAGAUCUGAAAAGCCUGAAUAUUCAAAAUCAUUCAAACAGCUUCGAAACAUAGAAAAACCUGAAAAUAAGAUAAAAGCAUUAAGAAACAAAAGAGUUUUCAAAAAUUAUGAGCUUUAAGUAACAAAAAGUUACCAAAUGAAGUAAAAUCAGACAUGGAGACUUACCAAAAUGCUCAGAUCUGUUAUGAAAGAGGAGACAUGGUAGAAGACUACGCCAGAAAACUUAGUCCACUAAAUUUUAAAAGACUUCCGAGAAGAUUUCCGAGAAGACUUAGCCCAUUAAAUGUUGGAAGUCUUCCAAGUCUGUGUCAGAUCUGAAAAACCUGCAUAUCCAAAAGCAUUCAAAUAACUUCAAAACAUAGAAAAUCUUCAAAAUAAAGUGAGAGCUUAGAACAACAAAAAGAGUUUUCAAAAGAUAAGAGUUUUAAGCAACAUGAGGGUACCAAAUGAAAAAAGAAAUAUGAUUUAUAGAUCUACCUUUAAAGAAGUGUAAGAUGAGAACCAUAAAAUGAAAAACCUGCAAAAACAAAAUAAAUCAGUGAGAAAGACAUGAGAUAAAAAUGAAAAAUUGAUAUAAAGUUUAGUGUUUAUUGGUUCAAAGAGAUUAGAGAGAGGUUGAAGAGUUUUAGAAUGAAAAACAUUACAUUUUUGUUGCAGCCGGUUGAGACGAAGAGGGAGAAUGUGUAAAUUUUCUUUAUAUAGAGAGACAAAAAUUCCAAUAAGGUUAAAAAUUUUCGCGAAAGUCUUCUAGGCAUUAUUUGCUAGAAGACUUAAGUCACCUAAACCCUAAACUUAAAAUAAAUAAGUAAGUAGAAAAAAACACUUCAUAUAACUUAAAAUCAACUUUAAAAAUGUUUAAUAUAUACAAAACUAAACACAUAUAAGUUGAAAUUUAAUUUUUCAAAAAAAAGUUAAACUUCCAAAAUCUAACCCUAAAAAUACAAACAAUACUACAACAUAUGUUACCAAGCCCUAAAUCAAAAAAUACAAUGACACACUACAUUCACUCAUCUAUGUUGAAAACAAUUUAAUUUUACUAGAUCUUAAUUUAUAUCAUUUACAAAUGUUUAUAAUUACAUGAUUUCAAUUUUCUCCCAUCAAAAUAUUUUCUAUAAAACUUAUAAAUUAUUUUUAAAAUCUAUGAUAUGAGGAAGUCUUCUCGCAGACAAACUUACAGAACCACAUAAACACUUCCCAGAUGAUAUUCGUAAAAAUGAAUUCUGAUUUUUUUUGUUUGGUCAUAAGGAUCUGAUUGUAAUUUCACAUGCUUUUGAGUUACUUUUGCACUCGGUUGAAGUUUGGGUAUGCUUUUAAGUUUAAAAUCAAGUUUGUGUAAUUUUUGGCAAAUACCCCUGUUAUAUUUGUGCCAAAAAUAUUGAUUUAUAUUUGUGUAAAAAAAACAUCAAAUUUGAAAGCUAUUUUAGGCCAAUUGUUAUUCAACUUUAACUAUUGACUAUUGUUAUGACCAAAAUAGUAUGGUCAACAAAAUUUUAUGAUUAAAUAUGGCUUGUCAACAAAAAUAGAGUGUUUUUUUUUUGUUUACUAAAAAUUUGAUGUUUUAUUUCAACCAAAGUUAAAAAUUGAUGACCAAAUGACAUUUUCCAAUUCAAAAAUCAAAUUAAUUUUAAAAAAGGGUUUGCCAACGCUGUAAAGUUCUGCAUAAAUAGUUUUUGGUUCCAUGCAAUGAACAAACUAAAGUUAAAACAAAAUAGUUUUUUCGACAUCCGGAUAAUUAUGCUAUUACAAUCUAUAAAAAAUAUUACAUACACGAAAAUUUUACAUUUGACAAUUCUAUCAGUCCUAUAAGAAUUUAUGUAUGACUGCAUUAUUAUGAGCCAUCCUAUGAGAUUUCUUAUAACCUUUUUACUCUAUAAUACGCAUAAUUUAUAUUUUCUGGGGUUUGAACUCCAUACCUUAUAGUGAAGAAACAUUAAUGAAUCUUUACUUAAGUCGUUGGACUAAAAUGACUUUCAAAAGACAAGAUAGUUUUAUCAAUAAAAAAUUCUAUGAAAACAUGAUACAAUAGUGGUAACGGGUAGCCGAGUGUCAAAACCUAUUUUAACUCCACUAACGUUUCAAAAUUUCAAUAAAUAUUUUGAUUAUAAAGAAGUCUAUCUUCAUCUAAAUUGUAUAUUUUAAAUCUAUAAUUUUUAGGAUAAGAAUUUAUUCUAGAGCAUUUAUUUGCAUAAAUAACCGGUUAAUUUAUUGUUCUCAUUGAAAAUAUUAACUCCAUUUUUAAUCCCAAUCAAAGUUACAGUUGAAUAAAUAUAAUUUUGUUUUGUACAGUAUAUAUCAUUGUCUAUUUAAUGAUAUAUGCAAAAAUUUAUUCAAGUUGUUAUUUAGGACUGGUCGUGGAAGCUACUUGUUAAUGUUUAAAGACUUCUACUCCAAGAUUUAGAGUUUGAAUUUCAGACUUGCAAUUUCUUGGAGAUUAUAAUAUGCAAUAUUUUGAAAGUUCCAUAAAACUGUAGGUAGAGCCGUUCGUUGUGGUUAUCUACUUCGGAGAGAGUUUGUCCAUCGAGGAUGUCGUGCAUGCUAAACCGUCUGCCAAUCCAAGUGUUUCAGAGAGAGCUUCAUCGUAAAAUCAUUAUUUAUGUUGUAGGUAGUUGAUCAUAAUAUGUAGGAAUUUUAGAUUAUAUGAUGAUGUAUUGUGUGCUAUUCGGUGUUAAAAAAAAACUUAGGGACUAGUACUUAAUUCAGUUUCAGUUAAAAAGACAUUCUAAUUGGCAUUAAAUAUUUCUCAUUAUACAUUCAUGACAUGAACCAAACACGAUUUGAUUUGUUCUCAAGAGAAAAAGAAUAUAUAUACAUUUGGUUUCUUUAUACCUCGGGUUCAAAAUCUCAUUUGUUACAAAAUUUUAAAUACUAGAUAUGUGAAAAGAUUAUAGACUUAGAAUUUGGAAUAUCCACAGUGAACAAAAAAAUAUAUUAAAUAAAUAUAACUUUGUUUUGUAUAUAUCAUUAUUGAAUAGGUGUUUUCCUGCACCAUGUGCAGUAGUAAAUUUUUAAUUUAAUUAUAUUUAAAAUAAAAUUUUAUUAUUAUUGUAGUUGUAGAUUUUAUCAUUUUUACCAAUAUUUUAAUAUAAAUUUUGAUUUAAUUGAAGAUAAAAUAAAAUAUUUUGUUUAUUUUAAAUUAUAUUUAAGAAUAGAUAUGUAUAUAUUUAAAAUUAUAAUCUUAGAAAGAUUUUUAUCUAUUUCUUUUGGAAAAAAAUGUAUUAGAUCAACUUGUAUAAACUUAAUAAAAAUAAUUUGAUAUAAAAGUUUUAUAAUUAUCAAAAAAUAAAACUAAGCAGUAGUUCUAAAAAUUUGUAGAUAUAUCAAAGAAACUAAUAAUAUUACGACUAAAUUUUUAUAAUUUUUUUAAAUUGUAAAAAAAAUAUAUUUUUUUAAAAUUUAUAAAAAAAAUUGAAAGUAUUUUUAAUAAUAAAAUUGUGUAAUUAUAAAAAGUAAAAAUAAAUAAUAUUUCAAUAAUAUUGUAAUUAUAAAAAUUAAAAAUAAAUAAUAUUUCAAAAAUAUUAUUAGAUUUUUAUUAUUAUAUUAUUUAAUGUCGUAUUUGAAUAGAUUUGCUUUAAUAAUAAUGUAUAACUAGGUGUUUGCCCACAAUUUUGCUGGUAGUUAUAUUAUAUAAAGAAAUAUAUAUCUUUUUUACACUGUUAUAAUUUUUGAAUAGUAAUUAAAAAUUUAUAAUUUUAAUUUUUAAUUUCAAAUAUUUGGAUAAUCAAAAAUUUCACUAUAUAUUUUUAGAAGAUAUGUGAGAUUUAAAAUACUUCAAAAACAUAAAUAUUAGCCUAAAAAUAUUUCUCUUACAGAAAAUAAUAUUAUAACUAAUUUAGAUAAUUGGUUGUAUAAAUACUUUAUAUUUUAGUUUAACACAUGAAAAACCAAAAAUGCUCUAGCACCCAAGAAAAAAAAAAGUGACCAAUACAAUAAUUGGAGGCUUUUAUCAUGGAAAAUCUUUUGUAAAUGGUUUUGUGUGGACUUUAAAAACAGAAAAGUUCAAAUAAUUCCUUACCUAUAAAUAUAAUUCUUUUAUAUAUAAUAAUAUAUAACCAUUAAAUUUAUUUCUAUAAAAAAAAUGCUAAAGUAUUUUAUUUAAUUAUAUAUAACUAAUUGAUAAAAAUAAAGAAAUUGAAAAAACAUAUAUAUUCUUUCUCUAAUUCUAUUAUUAGUUACCAUAAAUAAUUAUUUGUAAUAUCAUUAAUGUUAUUUGGUAAUUUGUAUUAAUUAGUUCUAGAGUUACCUUUUAUUUUUAGAUCAGAUUAAAAUAAUAAUUAAUAAAUGUUAACAACCAAUCAAAUUAUAACUAUUUUUAAAAACAUAACCUAUUAAAGACACAUAAUCAAAAGUCAAUUAAGUGGUUUCUCAAUUAAUAUAUAGUAGGAUUUAUCUCUUUAAAACUAGGGAUUUUUGGAAAAUUGACUCAAAACAUGAAGUCAACCACAAAACUAACCUAUGUUUUUUUUGGAUUUUUCUUUUGCCCUAUCUCGUACAUGUAAGUCGUCUCGGGAAAACAUGUUAGUUUUGCAUUUGACCAGAAUGUGUCAGAAAUUUGAUUUUUCCUGGACGAGUUAGUCGUCCAGUAGAAAAUUAAAAAAUUAAUAUUUUUUUUCUAAACGACUUACAUGUAAAUCGUCUCAGGUUAGUUUUGCAAUUGAAAUAUUUAACAAAAAGGAUUUUCUUUUCUAGACGACUUACACGGAAGUCGUCCUUACAUGUAAGUCGUCCAGGAUUUUAUUCCGAGAUUCUGAUCAAACCUUGCUUAUCUUGGACGACUUACAGGUUAGUCGUCUAGAAAAAAAACUCGAGACGACUAACGUGUAAGUCGUCUAGAAAAAAACCAAAUAUUUUGUUUAAUAAUUCAAUUGAAAAACUAAGCUGAGACGACUUACAAGUUAGUCAUCUAGAAAAAAACAAAAUAUUAUUUUUUUUAAUUUUCUACUGGAUGACUUACUUGUAAGUCAUCUCGAUAUUUUUUUUAUCAAACAAAGGUGGACGACUAACCUGUAAGUCGUCUAUGUUAAAAAUCAAGGGAUUUUUGGAAAAUUGACUCAAAACAUGAAGUCAACCACAAAACUAACCUAUGUUUUUUUUGGAUUUUUCUUUUGCCCUAUCUCGUACAUGUAAGUCGUCUCGGGAAAACAUGUUAGUUUUGCAUUUGACCAGAAUGUGUCAGAAAUUUGAUUUUUCCUGGACGAGUUAGUCGUCCAGUAGAAAAUUAAAAAAUUAAUAUUUUUUUUCUAAACGACUUACAUGUAAAUCGUCUCAGGUUAGUUUUGCAAUUGAAAUAUUUAACAAAAAGGAUUUUCUUUUCUAGACGACUUACACGGAAGUCGUCCUUACAUGUAAGUCGUCCAGGAUUUUAUUCCGAGAUUCUGAUCAAACCUUGCUUAUCUUGGACGACUUACAGGUUAGUCGUCUAGAAAAAAAACUCGAGACGACUAACGUGUAAGUCGUCUAGAAAAAAACCAAAUAUUUUGUUUAAUAAUUCAAUUGAAAAACUAAGCUGAGACGACUUACAAGUUAGUCAUCUAGAAAAAAACAAAAUAUUAUUUUUUUUAAUUUUCUACUGGAUGACUUACUUGUAAGUCAUCUCGAUAUUUUUUUUAUCAAACAAAGGUGGACGACUAACCUGUAAGUCGUCUAUGUUAAAAAUCAAUUGCAAAACUAACCUAAAUGGACGACUUCCUAGAAGUCGUCCAGACGACCUCCGUGGAAGUCGUUUGCGUCAAUGUUUAAUAAACCUUCAUUUUCUCUAAACCUAUAAGGACUUUUUAAUAUUUUUUUGUUAAUUCAUGUAUAUUAGUCAAUAUUAGGGCUACUGAAUGAAAUUUAUAAUUUAAUUGGUGAUAUUUAUGAGGUUACCAACAUUCACGUUAAUUAAAGUUUCUAACUUAUCCGAGAACACUUUCGUGGAAGUCUUCUAUGCUAGUUUUUAAGUCUUCUACCCUAGUUUUUGAAUAACUUGUAUAUUUAAGAGUGAUAAGUAACUUCAAGAUAUGUAAAACUCAUAUUUUCAAAAUAUGUUUUCUCCCUUAGUUUUACUAAAUUUGACUAAGUUUUUCAACACAAACUUGUAAAAAAUGUGAUAAGCUUUAAGUAGUUACUAUUGUUUGUUUUCAUCUCUUAAGUAUUAUUGUUAUAGACACCAAUGAUGAUUAUUGUUAUGAGUUGGAAGAAGGGUUAAAAUGUUUCUUAAAAUGUUGUAUCAAUAUGAGGCUACCAACAUUCUUGUUUAUUAAGAUGAGAAGAAGACCAUUGGAGUUUAUUAUUGCAUAUGGGAGAUCCAAAGAUAAGAAAAAGGCUAUUGAAGUAUAUUAUUUCAUUGAGUUGUAAAUGUGUAAACACAUUGUUAGCACAUAUAUUACAUCUUGGAAAACAUUAUUACUGAUUUUACAAAAAAAUUCACAACUAAAAGAGUAGACAUGCAAAUCAAAAAACAGACCACAAAUAAAACUAUUAUAGAUCAUUCAUCUACAAAGACAAGCUUGGACUUCACUUGAUAUGAAAGAAGACUUCGUCAGAAAACUUCUUGGAAGUCGUCUGGAAGACUUCCUGGAACUCGUCCAGCGCAUUAUAUUUUAGACGACUAACAGGUAAGUCAUCACAGAAGUCUUCCAGAUCUGAAAAACACGCAUAUCAAAUCCAGAUCUGAAAAACCUGCAUAUCAAAAAACAUUUAAAAGGUUUAAAAACAGAGAAAAUGAGUGGAAGAUUAGAUAAAUCUACCUUUAUAGAACACACAAAAAUACAUAUUUAAAAUUAAUAGAUCUACCUUUAAAUGAGUGGAAAAUGAGAACCAUCUGAUUAAAAACCUGCAAAAAAAAGAUAGAUUAGUGAGAAAGACAUUAGACAAAACUGAAAAAUUCAUAUAAAGUUUGGUGUUUUCAAGUCAAAUAGAUUAGAGUGGGUUAGGAGAGUUUUAGUUCGGGAAAAAAGUUAGAACUUUAUACAACAGAAAGUUACCAAAUGAAGAAAAAUCAGACAUAAAAAUUUAUCAAAACGCUCAGAUUUGUUAUGAAAGGGAGAGACAUGGGAGAAGACUCCGUCAGACGACUUCCGGAAAGUCUUCCAGACGAGUCGUCUGGAAGACUUCCUGAAAGUCGUCUAGCGUAUUAUAUUUUAGACGACUAACAUGUAAGUCGUCCCAGACGUCUUCCAGAUCUGAAAAACCUGCAUAUCCAAAUCCAGAUCUGAAAAACCUGCAUAUCCAAAAACGUUCAAAUGGCUUAAAAACAGAGAAAAUGAAUGGAAGAUUAGAUAAAUUUAUUUUUAUAGAACACAUAAAAAUACAUAUCUAAAAUUGAUAGAUCUACCUUCAAAUGAGUGGAAGAUGAGAACCAUGUGAAGAAAAACCUACAAAAAUAAGAUAAAUUAGUGAGAAAGACAUGAGACAAAAAUAAUAAAUUGAUAUAAAGCUUAGUGUUUAUAAGUUCAAAGAGAUUAGAGAGAGGUUGAAGAGUUUUAGAAUGAUGAACAUUACAUUUUUGUUGCAGCCAUUUGAGAGAAGGAGAAAACAUGUAUAAAUUUUUCUUUAUAUAAGGAAACAAAAAAUCUAAUUAGGUUAAAUAUUUUUGAUUCAGAUGACUUCCUAGACGGCUUACUUGUAAGUCACCCAGAAGACUUUAAUAUUUUUAGCGGAAACUAAAAUAGUUUUAGCAGCAAACUAAAAUAGAAGACUUCCUAGACGACUUACAAGUAAGUCACUGGUUUAAAUUAUUUAAGCGGGAAAAUAAUUUUAAAAAAUAUUUUAGGAAGGAAUAUUUGGUCGUCUGGUUUAAAUUAUUAACCAUACGACUUACAAGUUAGUCGUCUAGACCCUAAACAUAACUCCUAAACUCAAUUAACUAACUAAACACUUCGUAAAAUCAAAUUAAACUUCAAAAGUGUUUACUAUACACAAAAUAAACAAUUAUAGGUAAAAAUUUAAUUUUUCAAAAAAACAUUCAUGCUUUCCAAAAUCUAACCUUAAGAAUACAUACAAUACUACAACAUAUGUUGUCAAACCAUAAAACCAAAUAAUAUCAUGGUUAAUUACUUUCACUCAUCUAUGCUGAAAACUAUUCUAUUUUAUUAUAUCUUAAUUUACAUUGCUUAAAACUGUUUAUAAUUACAUGAUUUUAAUUUUUCAUUUGUCAAAAUAUUUUUUAAAAACUUUAUAAAUUAUUUUUAAGAUCAACUACACCAAGUAAGUCGUCUAGACGACUUCCAGCAUCUCAUACGACUCACUGGGGCUAUAUUCGUAAAAAUGGCUUAUGUUUUUUGUUUGGUCACAAGGGACUGGCCGUAAUUUCACAAGGCUUUUAAGUUAGUUUUGCAUUUGAUUCAAGUUUGAGUAUAUUUUUGCAAUCAAAGUCAAGUUUUGAGUCAUAUUUGGUAAAUCCCCUUAAAACUAAGGAUGAAUUUGGUUAAGAUAAACAUAAAAAUAUGUAUUAGGAAAAUAGUAGUUUAAGCGAUUUUUCUCAUAAUUUGCUCCAAAUCACACUUUCUCACUCAUUUUGUUUAAUUUAGUGUUUAACAUAAAACUCAAAUGGGUUAAGCAAACAAAUUAUUCCUUAAAUUAUCUAUGAUCAUCACACUAUUUUAUCAAACACUAACUCAUUCAACCAAAUGUUUUUAAUUAAAACUAAUCAUAGUUUACAUAUCUUUUAAAAUUAUUGUUUUAUUUUUUUAAAUUAAAUUAAAACAUACCUAUAUUAAUUAAAUCUGAUUAACUAAUAAGAAAAAAUAAUAUUUGAAUUUUUUAAAUAACCAAAUGUCGUUAUUUUAGGCAUAUAUACUUAAUAUUAAUGUGAGAUCCAAUAUUUUAUGAAAUAUUUUUAAAUAUUAUAGCGUAAAAAGUACAUCUCAUUAAUUUUUAAAUAUUUUUUUCUUACUUUCAAUUUACAUUAUAUUUUCCAUCUUUGACUUUAACAAUUGUGGAGAUUGUCAUUUUAUUGAAUUUCCUUACUAAAUUUAUCUUAACGUUUUAAACAAACAUAAAACUAAUUAGUUCACAUUUAUAGUAACACAAAAAAAGUACAUGUACCUCGAUAAACAAAUAAAAAUUAAAUAUAUAAGAAUAAAAAUACCAAGAACACAACAAACAUAUUUUAUUAUUCUUCUCUCUUGUUAUUUUAUUUAUGUCUGCUUUUUUUUUUCUAUUAAAAAUAAGCAUGCUAAUUUUAUUAUAAUCCAAGCUAUAUGAAUUAUAUUAAUAGAGUAUUAAAUCUAGAAAAAUCAUGUGAAAAAUACUUUGAUUAAUAUAAUUAAAUUACUUACCAUAUAAUAAAUUAAAUGAAUUACCAAAUAAUAUAAUUUUAAAUGACUUACCAUAUAACAAUAAUAAUUUAUCUGUUUAUAUUAAUAGAUGAAUUAAAUAAAUUUUUUCUUGAUUAAUAUACGUUUAAAUAACUUACCAUAUAAUUUUUAUGUUUUAAAAUAUAAAAUAUUUUAAUCAUUUCUAAAAGUGAUAACGCAUAUAUGAUCUCAUUGUCAUUGAAAAAUUAUUGAAAUUUUUUUGAAUUAUAUAUUUGAUUAUUUUGCAUUCAUUUGACACAUUUUUAUAUUAUAUAUAUAGUGAAUGAGUGAAUUUAAUUAAUAUUAUUAUGUUUAGAUUAAUUAGUUUUCUGAAAUCUAUGAUUUAUUUUAUUAACUACUAAUAUAAACAUAAUAAAAACCGUUUUUAAUUAAAUAAAUGAAAAAUAAUAAACUAUCAACCAAUUAAAUUAUAACAAUUAAUUGGAAAGCUCUUCUAUGAGCGACACGUCAGCAUAAAUCACUAAAGUGACUUCUCAAUUAAUAUAUAUGAGGAUUUAUUAUCAUAUUUUAAAAAGAUUAUCAAAAUUUUCACUAAGCAUUAAAUGUAAUUAUCCAUGUCACAUUUAACCAUAAGCCAUGUCGCAUUUAUUUAGUAAAAAUGAUUGUAAAGAUGACAUGUAUCAAAAUCACUUUGCAAAUAAUAUCUUGUGAUUGAAUGUUAUGUAAAAAUUUAAGUAGGUAACUUGGUGACUAAUUAAUUCAGUUCCAAUUUAAAAAGACUCCAGUUGGCAUUAACAUUUACAACACAAACCGAACAAGAUUUGAUUUGUUCUCAUGAGAAGUUAUAACUCUUUUCUCUAGCUCAAAAGGCCAACUUUUGAACAAAGCAAUCACGAGAAACCUUUGAAUAUCUCUUACUUUGGAUCCGUUCCUUGUUCACUUGGUUUCUUCUUUAACUUCCAAAACACAACUCGUAUCAUACAUAACCUCUCUGGUGCUUUUCCAUCUUCUCGUGUCUUUUUCCCCGGAAAAUUUUCUCCCUCCUCUGUUGAUUUUCCCGGAAACUUUCCUUGUUCUUCUAUCUACUAGGAAAAAAGAAAGAUGAAACCCAUUUGUUUCCUUCUCUGUUUCUGUUUCCUUCCUGUAAAAGUCUCCUCCUUUUGACAUAAUCUUUCUUGGUUUAAAUUAUUAAAUACUCUCUUUGAACAUUUCUUUUCCCUGAUUCUGUUUUUGUUUUUUCCGAGAAAAUUAAUGAAACCGCGGCUAUAUUAUCAGGAGAUCCUAUCGAAUCCAUGUUUCUGAAUCAGUUCAUGCACUUCUUGAAAUCUAUUCACACUUUCAGAAGGAAAACCCUAGUUUAACAAAACCCUAGAUCCUCUGCUUUCCAAACCCUUCCUUGUGAUCCAAGCAAACUCUCCUCUGAUUUCUCAACAUGCCUGGUUCAUGUUUCAACCCGUUUCGACGGUCUCUAAGAUCCAAGUUCCCUCCAGAGCCUUCCUUCCCGGCCUUAUCCGCUAACCCGUCUUCCUCAAAAACCAAUCGGUAUGCAGAAAGUGAGACGAUGGAGAAGAAGAGAUUCGACAGUAUGGAGUCUUGGUCGAUGAUUCUUGAGUCCGAGAACGUGGAGACAUGGGAAGCUUCUAAAGGUGAAAGAGAGGAAUGGACCGCUGAUCUUUCUCAGCUUUUUAUCGGAAACAAGUUUGCUUCCGGAGCGCACAGCAGAAUCUAUAGAGGGAUCUACAAACAAAGAGCCGUUGCUGUGAAGAUGGUGAGGAUCCCUACACACAAGGAAGAGACAAAGGCUAAGCUCGAACAGCAGUUUAAGUCCGAGGUUGCUCUGCUUUCUCGUCUCUUUCACCCUAACAUCGUCCAGGUCUAAAAUCUCUAUCUUCUUACCAAAGUCUAAACCUAAUUUUAUUUUAUAAAGUAAGAUCUUGGUUAGAAUGAAAAAAGAACAGAACAAAGAUCUUGUCUUUAGAACAUAUAAGUCUCUAACCACUAGUUUAUUUUAAAACAUAGUUUAUCGCGGCGUGCAAGAAACCUCCCGUAUACUGCAUAAUAACUGAGUAUAUGUCCCAAGGAAAUCUCCGAAUGUAUCUAAACAAGAAAGAGCCUUACUCGCUAUCUAUCGAAACUGUACUAAGGCUGGCUCUAGACAUCUCAAGGGGAAUGGAGUAUCUUCACUCACAGGGUGUUAUCCACAGAGACCUAAAGUCCAACAAUUUGCUUUUGAACGAUGAAAUGAGGGUUAAAGUUGCAGAUUUUGGGACUUCUUGUCUUGAGACGCAAUGCAGAGAGGCCAAGGGUAAUAUGGGAACUUAUCGAUGGAUGGCUCCGGAGAUGAUCAAGGAGAAGCCUUACACUAGAAAAGUUGAUGUUUAUAGCUUUGGGAUCGUUCUAUGGGAACUCACCACUGCCUUGCUUCCGUUCCAAGGCAUGACUCCAGUGCAAGCCGCAUUCGCAGUCGCUGAAAAGGUCAAGUCUCUACAUCUCCAUUUUUGUUCUUCUUUUAAACUAAACUAUUAUAUUAAUUCAACCUAAAUUGGAAAUUGAUUAACGGUUACAUGGUACAAAUUGAAUGAAAAUAAGACCGAUCAUAAAGCAGCUCUAAAGAAAGCCCUAGUUAACCUGAGGGUUUGGUUGUCCUGGCUGCCGAGUCCAGGGUCAGUUCUGGGUACAACCGACUAAAACAUUCGCAUUGACCUCCGAAUUUUAAACAGCUAAUAUAUAUAUAUACCAUAUGGUAUUCAAAUUGUCAAAAACAAAUAUUUAGAUUAAACUGAAAAUGAUAUGGCCAUCUAAAUUUCAUAUUUGGCUCUGGUCGAGCCCGCCAAAACCACCUCACUCUGCUUUUUAUUCCACUCUGCCCAUCUCAUUUACAUCUAUGAAACUAGUAUUUGUGAUUAACAUUGCCAUUGUGUGCUGUGAUUGCUCGGGAUGCAAGUCAUACUUGAAUUAUGUUACGUGAGACCUUAAAUAUUUCUCUAUUAAUAUGAGCAGAACGAAAGACCGCCUUUGCCGGCAAGCUGUCAACCAGCAUUAGCUCACCUGAUCAAGAGGUGUUGGUCGGAAAACCCUUCCAAGCGGCCGGACUUCUCAAACAUUGUGGCGGUGCUAGAGAAGUAUGACGAGUGUGUCAAAGAAGGCUUGCCUUUGACGUCACACGCAAGCCUCACGAAGACCAAAAACGCCAUUCUUGAUCGUCUUAAAGGCUGCGUCUCAGCCAUCAGCUCAAAAUCGUCUUCCUCUGUUCCUGUAAAUGCUUAGUAAUUCAAAGUUGUUUAAGUAACAUAAUACUCUCUUCUUCUUUUUUUUGUAGAGGUUACUAUUCUUCUUCUUCUUCUUUUUCUAUUAUUGGUGAAAGUGUUCCUUUCAGUUUGUGCAAUGCAAAGCUCUUAUGUCAGUUAUGUGAACUUUGUUGUGAAUAAUAGCGAGGUAAAAGGUUUACAUAUAUUAAAAUCGAUUGCUUUAUUUCUGAGUGGUAACAAAGAGAGAGUCGACGUGAGAUGUGAGUGAGAAGAGAGAGUUAUGAGUUGCAAGACUUGUUUCUCAUAUUAUUGCUUUCUUAUAUCCAUAAAGCCAAGAGGAGAAGAGGCUAUUUAUACUACACAUAAGUCGGUUGCUUUACUAGAAAAAGACAAAAUACUAAGAAGUGAUAGAUGACAUGAUUUCUGUAAGAAAGACAUGUGUCCAAGAUGUAUAAUCAUCUUAUUUUGAUCUUUAUCUUCUAACACUCCCCCUUGAUUAUCCAUCUUGUGUUACGUAGUGCCUCGUUAAAAACCUAAUUAUGGAAAAAUCCAUUAGAAAAAAAAUCACGAUGACGAAAAAAAAGUACACUGUCGUAAUCUCCCCCUGAGAAUAGUAGACAUAGAUUUCUUGUCACAUGCCAUGCAAAUGCCGCAUUCCGAUACCAUAGACGUGUUUUCUCGAAAUGUUGUAGUCGGAAGAACUGUUGUGAACAAGUCAGCCAGAUUGUCGCAUAACUGUAAAUACUCGAUGUCCACCUCUUUAUUUUUCUCGAACUCUCUUAUGUAUGAGAAAAAUCUUCGAGAAAAAUCUCAGAGGGAUAUGCUUUGUUAUAUCGCUUUUGAUGUAGCCUUCUUUCAGUUGAGCGACACAAGCCGAAUUGUCUUCAAAUACUUUCGUCGGCUCUUUCUUGUUAACUAUUUCGCUUGAUUCUUGUAUGUGGCGACUCAUUGACCGAAGCCACACACAUUCUCGACAUGCUUCGUGAAGCACAAUAGUUUUUGCUUGAUUCGAAGAUGUCGCAACCAGAGUUUGUUUCUGGGACCGUGAAGAAAUCGCGGUUCCACCAAUUGUAAAAACAUAGCCGGUUUGUGUUCGACUUUAUAAAUAUCAUGUAUCUGCAAAACCAUACCAAACUCUGGGUUUCUAGGAUAAAUCAAUCCUAAAUCAAUACUUACCUUGGAGAGAACAGAUAUGUUCUCGAUGCCGUUAUAAUUUCCAUAAAUAGGAAAUGAGCUAUAUCUCGCAAAGACAUUAGUGUCUAAAAGUAUAUUUAAUCAAACAUAACUCGCAAGAUAUAUAAGCUCAUAUAUGCUUUAUUACCAUUAGCAUCUCCAAAGUACUUAUUUAUAUAAGAUCUUACCAGGAUCUUUUAAAAUAUCAUCUCUUUUAACAUCGAGAGAUCUAUUUACCAUUGGAGUACUCAACGGAGUUGCUUUAUCCAUAUAAAAGUGUUUUAACAACCUUUUCGUAUACUUUGAUUGAUGCACAAAUACUCCUUUUCGGAUCUGCUCUAUCUGGAGCCCAAGACAAAACUUUAGUAUCAUCAAUCCAAUUAUGUUCAGGUCAUCUACAUAUACAGCAAUGAUCACAAAGCCAUAUGACGAUUUCUUUAUAAAAACGCAUGGACAUAUCGCAUUAUUCAUAUAUCCUUUACUCAAAAGAUAUUCACUUAAGCGAUUAUACCACAUGCGUCCGGAUUGCUUUAAUCCGUGAAGUGAUCGCUGUAACUUGACCGAACAAAUCUCCCUGAAUUUUUUACCACCUCUCUCUCUCUCUAGGGCUGGGCCGUCUCUCUCUCUAAGUGUAUGGGCUGGUUAUAGACCGGGCCGGUUAUGGAUAUCUGACUACCCACUUAUAGCCAACAAGAUUUAUAUUCUCAGGCGUUAUGACUAUAGGUCCAAAAUGUUUUAACAACCUUUUCGUAUACUUUGAUUGAUGCACAAAUACUCCUUUUCGGAUCUGCUCUAUCUGGAGCCCAAGACAAAACUUUAGUAUCAUCAAUCCAAUUAUGUUCAGGUCAUCUACAUAUACAGCAAUGAUCACAAAGCCAUAUGACGAUUUCUUUAUAAAAACGCAUGGACAUAUCGCAUUAUUCAUAUAUCCUUUACUCAAAAGAUAUUCACUUAAGCGAUUAUACCACAUGCGUCCGGAUUGCUUUAAUCCGUGAAGUGAUCGCUGUAACUUGACCGAACAAAUCUCCCUGAAUUUUUCCUUUCAAUGCCCCUGGCAUUUUCAAUCCCUCAGGGAGUUUCAUACAUAUAUCGUUAUCCAAUGAUCCAUACAAAUAUGUAGUCAAAACGUCUAUAAGAUGCAUUUCAAGAUUUUUAGAUGCCAUUAGGCUCAUCAAAAAUCUAAACUUAAUUGCAUCCAUUACCGGGGAAUACGUUACUCAAAAUCAAUUCCCGGUCUCUGAGAAAAACCUUGGGCAAUUAAUCAGGCUUUAUAUCGUGUUACUUUUCUCAUGACUACCCACUUAUAGCCAACAAGAUUUAUAUUCUCAGGCGUUAUGACUAUAGGUCCACUAUUUUGCUCAUCCAAUUUCAUUUUCUUUCGGGGAAUUUUUAAUCUCUAGAACCCGCUAGUCUCCCCCUCUUUAACUGAAACCUAGGCUCAUUCAUUUUGUCACCAUUAGUUUAUUCUUUAGGAACAUCAACUCUUGAUGGAACAUUUCAGCGGGUAUAUCAUGUCGUACCUGUGAACACAUUUGGUAACUGGUUCGCCAAAUUAUGCAAAUGCACAAUUUCCUGAAUUUUAUGUUCUCUUUAAUUCAUAGGGGGGUCAAGGUGUAACAACGAUUGUGUACACCAUGUAAUAUCUUUAGGAAUUUCUCUAAUUCCUCUCCUAACACUGGAAAUUCAUUCUCAUUAAAAUGACAAUCGGCGAACCGUGCCAUAAACAUAUCACCAGUUACUGGUUCAAGACACCUUAUAUACGGCUUGUUCUAACUCUUACAGAGUUUUAUACAUUCCCGAGAGCAUUUUUAACUCUCCAGGGACUACUAAAUAUCAAGAUGCAACUCAACUCGUUUAUGUCCUGCCAGACAUUUCAAUAUACUGCAUCUAUUUUAAAUUUCUCCAGUGACCUUGGAACAAGCCGUUUUUCAUACUUCAAGGUCAUCUUUCAUUUUAUUCUCUGGAGAAAUAUAUACCUUGGACUUUUGGUCCAAACAUUUCUCGUUUUUCUAACGAGCUUUAUAUCAAAUUGAUGGCCAUUCAAUUCACUCUACCCUCAUACAUAGAGGUAGAUUCAUAAUCCUUAUUUAUAUAGUGUUUUUUCAUUAUUGUCGACAAUCUAUUUUAUCUUUUGUUCCAUCUUUUUACCCGUACUGAUAUGGUUAAUCGAGAUCUCUUUAUCAUCAUCGAUGAUUUACCAGGUACCUGACUGUAAUAUUAACCAUAUCAACGGUCUCACCACGAGAUUCAUCCUCAAUUCAUAUAUUUGCUCCUUUUCGAGGACUCUUUGGAACCAAAGUGGUCUAUCACGUCUCCAGCGUGUUAUAGACUCAUAUAUCGUCCUUUUAUGACACAUUUUCUUAUUGGAGCAUUUUCGGCUGGAAUAUGAGAUAUCAUUAUUUAAUCAAAAUGUUUGGCAGCCAUUUUAUAAAUGGAUUAUCCUACUUUUCAUUGUAAUCCAUUUCACAUAUCUCAUUCCAUCAGCUUAUCAUAUGCUUCUAGCAAACUUGCGAGCAUAUUUUUAAGUAUCCAUAUACUUUAUCCUUUUGGAUUGUAUAUGUCUUUAUUACAUGCACAACUGCAUUAUACUCAAUUAUGGGGAUCAUCUUACUUGAUUUACUUUAUCAAGUUCUUUUUCAAGUGCGAACAUAAUUUCUCAAUGUUCCAUUCCCUAGGAUUCUUUAAUUCUCUCCCUCGAGAUGAUGACAUUCCAUGUCUACAAUCUCGUACUGAAUCCCACUCUAGAACCAAUAACAUAUUCAGUUUUUCCCAUUUGUGAUGAAUUAUGUUUCAAAUCCUUUAGAGUGAGAUCCUAAUUUGGGAUCUGGUUAAAGAAAUCACUUCUAGUGAACUUGCUUGAUGAUUCAUCACCCAUGAUGGUUUCCUUUAUUUUCAAUAUUUCACAAUAAUGUUGAUAACAUUAUUGGAGAUGACUAUAUAUCAGUAAACUUCAGGUUUAUCACCGUUUGUAAUUUUGCUAUCUUUUUUUUAUGCAUGUCUUUUCAUCAUAAGCUCUUCUAUAGCCAAUAAUAUGUUUAUAUUACUAGAUUGUACUAUACUUAUUUAGUUUGAGAGAGGAAAGAUAUUUGUUACAUUUAGUAGUCAUGUACGAUGACCCAAUAUCUGCCAGGUAUAUCUAUCUCCAUCCUGAAUCUCAAAAUCUUAUUCCGGAAGAUAAUUCUCAUAUCACAUCGAUAUUUUAUUUUUAUUUUCUGGACUAACCAGAAAAUCUGAAUCAUCAAGAUGAGUAUUCAAGCUAUGAAAAAUGGUUCGGGCUCAUAAGAGACGAAGUUUAAUAUACUUCCUUUCUCUUUUUCUUUUUGAUUUUCGAUAUAAAUCGGCUAAAUAUUUGGCGUACGACAACUACGUACCCAAUUUUCUUUCUGGCCGUAUCUAUAGCAAACCUUUUCUGUUUGCCUUUUAUCACCCGGCCACUUUUAUUUUCGUGGAAGUUCUCAUUAUUUUCAUAGGGAUGGAAUCUUCUUCCUCGUCCUCUUCCACGACCAUGAUAGCGGUUUCAACCGCAUCUACACCCUCGUCCUUUUCUAGUAGGACCGACUUGAUGGUUUAGUAUCAUGAUUUCAUUUUAUUUUUCAGUUUACUCGGAGGAUUUACAUCAACUCUGAUCCUUUCUUUCAAGGAUUUAACUAUCAAAGAUCUUCUAUAUCUUUUCUCAUGAUACACCUCAUCUUAUAAACCAUCAUUGAAGUGGGGUAAAAUAUCAUGGUUUUUCUUUUUCUCAUCCGAUAUCGUUUCAACUUAUCGAUGAUUUUUUAAAGCUCAUUUUCUCUCAGGUGCAUCUUUGCACCCACUGCCUAAGUCUUAUAAUUGUUACUCGUAAUAUCAAGGGCAUUUAUUUUGAGCUUUGUCAAAUUUGACAUGAUAACCGUAUUCAUAGAAUAAUAAUAUAUAAAGACGAAAAUUUAAAUGCAUAAAUUAAAAGCAUAAAAUAAAUGCAUAAAUUAAAUUGCAGAAAUUUAAGGAGCAAUAAAUUAAAUUAGAGGCUUAGCCUACCACAUGAUCCGAUGAGUCUUAGACUACCAUAUUGAUCAUUUUUCAAAGUCCGAGGAGACAUGGUCUACCAUUUUGACUUUUACUUAUUUUAAGGUCUGAGGAGAUUUAGUCUACCAUUUUUGACCUUUUCUUUUUAUUCACGGAGGCAAAGCCUACCACGUGUUCUCUGACCGUGAAGGCAUAGCCUACCAUAACGAUUAGUCGGGAAAGGCAGCGUCUAUCAUCCCGAUAAAUAGACGGAGAAAGCCUAGCCUCUCAAUCUAAAAUAAUAAUAAAAUUUAAAUAAAUUAAAUAUAUUGAAAUACAUAAAUUUAAAUAUUACCUUCGGAUUAAUAAACCUCACCGGUAUAUAAGAGAUUUCGGAUUAAUAAACCUCACUGGUAUAUAAGAGUUCGUGCUGAUAUCGUGUUGUGGAUAAUAGCAAGUGAGGUAAAAGGUUUAUAUAUAUUAAAAUAGAUUGCUUUAUUUCUGAGUGGUAACAAAGAGAGAGUCAACAUGAGAUGUGAGUGAGAAGAGAGAGUUAUGAGUUGAAAGACUUGUAUCUCAUAUUAUUGCUUUUUUACAUCCAUAAAGUCAAGAGGAAAAGAGACUAUUUAUACUACACAUAAGUCCGUUGCUUUACUAGAAAAAAAAACAAAAAUACUAAGAGGUGAUAGAUGACAUUAUUGCUGUAAGAAAGACAUGUGUCCAAGAUGGAUAAUCAUCAUAUUUUGAUCUUUUAUCUUCUAACAAAGUUUGAUAUUUCUCCUUUUGUUUUUAUUAAGUUUUUCAAAAACAAAAAUGUGAAAACAAGGAUUCAUGGUUUCUUAUAUAACUUAUAAUAUUACUUAAAACUAUAAAGAAACUUUGACAAAAGCAGAAACAACACUUUAUAGGAUAAAAGAAAAAUAGAAAACCGAAUGAAGACUUGGAGAACAUAUAAGAUAAUGAUUAUCGCAAGGAAUCCUUAAUUUUUUUUUUUUGUGUUUCCUAGAAAAAAAAUAAAUAAAUCAAUCGCAGACCGUUACGUGUCGGUGGAGUCCGCAAACAGUAUCAAAACCCUUUAAUUACCGAUCCUUAUUUAAUGAAUUUGGGAAAUGGUUUUUAAAUUUUUGUGAGAUCCACGCGUUAAUGAGAUCUACAUUUUAUCAAAAAACUUCCCUAAAAACCUUGGGAUUUUCAUGCUCUAAAGUACCGACAAUCACACAAUGUAUUCGGCCAAGAUAAGAAUGUACUGCUUCACCUCGUCAGUUUGACGAAUUAAUAUUAGCUGACCCUACCAUCACAAUCUACUCGUAAAAAUGUCACUACAGCCAUGGAAAUUUCAUGGCUAAACAGCCAUGGCUAUAUGAAAAAUAAUCACAAUUUAUUAUCAAAAAAAAAACUGUGACAAGUGUGAUAACUGUUUCACAUGUGUGAAAUCGAGACAAUCAGAUUAAACAAGCAUGUAAUGUUUGUUUAAGGAAAUCUAAUAAAAGACAAUUGUUUGGAAGAAUCAACUUGUUCAUUGAUAUUUUGUGUUGAACGUGUUUCUGUGUUUUUAGGUUCUUCAGUUUCAUCCUUUUCUUGUGUCACUAAGCUUAUGUAUAAUAAGUUACUCUUUAAUAAGCUAAUGUUUGGAUUAAUAUGAAGUAUGUCUCAUCAUAUUUUCUCGAACUUUAUGGUUGUUAAACCAUACAUUGCAUAUUUCCUUGUUUUUUAAUUUGAACCCUUUUACAAAAAAAAAAAGUAGAUAAGAAUGCAAUGCAUCACCUCGUCAGUUUGACGAAUUCAUCAUAGCUAAUCCGGCCAUCACCAUCAACAUCAAAAUUUUUAAUGAAAUUAGCAGCUUCCUCAUCGGUUAUCAUUCGCUCACUAACUGUAAACACAUAUUUUUGAUAGUCUGCUGCAGUUAUGUAACCUUUUUGGUCUGCAUCUAUAGGUCUAUAAGUGUGAUUCAUUUCUUUCUUUUCCUCCCAUUCCAGUGUAACAUCAGUGGGAAAAUUUCCGAUCAUCACAACUUUUUCUAUAAUAUCCCUAACGAAGGAAAAAAAUAGAAAAUUAUUAAAUUAUUGAAACUCCACAACUGAGUCAUCGCAUAGUGAAGCUCUUGUACAGUUAUGUAAUGAUUUUGGUCUACAUCACGAAUCCUAAAUUCUUCCCAUAGCUUUUUCACUUUCAGUUGUUUCAACACAUGACUGGAAAUUUUUUCGAGCAUCGCAGCUUCAUCAGUCCUGAUAAAAAGAAAAACCAUUAUCUUAUUAAAUUAUAGAAACUCCGCCAUUGAAUCACGGAUUAAGAGAGUAGAAAAAUUCUGGUUCAUUUGAGUCAAAAUAGACGAGUAACAAACCAGAUACGCGAGUGUUCUCCAGCUAUGUUUGCUACACGUGUCAAAGCUUGGAUCCAUCUCUGCUUCUGUUUCUCUGUUACACCUUCACAUGUUUUCUUGAAUGCGAUGCCAAAGUCUCCCGUCUGAAUCCGUACAUCCGACGGAUCAACGUCAUAGAAAAUCGGUAUCACGAUCAGCUCCGAAGCUUCUUUGCACUUCAAGAUUUCAAGCAAUUCACCUAAACACCAUAUUGAAGAAGCGUAAUUCUUCGAGAGCAAAACAAUUGACACUUCCGCUUUUGUAAUGGCUUCCACGAGUUUAGAUCCAAUCGUAUGGCCUCUUUCGAUGUCAUUAUCAUUGAACAUCGUGAUUCCUUUCCUUGCAAAGACAUUGCGUAAAUGACUGAGGAUUCCACUACGAACAUCUGGCCCGUGGAAGCUCGGGAAGACAACAUGAGGCAAGGAAGAAGAAGAAGUCGCCAUGAGAGACAUAGAGCAAAAAAAUUAAGUUUGAAGAAAGUAUGAGAGUGGUUAAGUUUCAAAAAAAAAAAAAAAGUAUGAGAGUGGUUGAGGAAACAACAAGUCCCUUGUUCAUAUAUAUAUGAGCAAAUACACGUAAAGAGAAGAGGAAAUUUCAAGGGACUUUGAGUGAGACUGUACGGGACCACUGGUUUAUUUCCACAGAAUCCAUUGCUGACUCAUAAAAGUUUGUAAAAAUUAAACAAUCACCUUUUUAAUACAUCUAAGAUCAACUAUUCUUCCUUCCACCCUCGUGCUCCCUAUAAAACUCGGUCUGUAAACUGACAACUAGUUUUUAUAUGGAUAUUUUGUUAAAGAUUAUGACUAAUAGUUACAAUCUUAAAUGUCUCAAAGGAAAACAAAUUCGAGAUCGAUCGAUCUAUCUCCAUUUAUGUUCUUGUAUCAAGUAUAUUUUCCAAAUAUAUUUUUAUGACAAACUAACUUCACAUUUAUUUCAUUUUGUUUUGUAUCUCUACAACCUUAUGAACGUGAGUUGUUUGAGGUUAGCAGAGAAAAGGGAAUUAUGUCAAAAGGAAUAUUGAAUGAUACUGUACUGGAAACCACGAAUCCUCUGCGACUCAUAAGAGUUUUUUUUCAGUGCAAAUGUUAAGUGUAACUGGUUAUUCAUAGAAGGAAUAUUAUGAAUUAAAGAAUGAUUAUUUUUGGAAUAAGAAAAAAUGGAAUGAUAGAUUAAAUGGAACAAAAACUGAAAAUAUUUUUGGAAUGGCAUUCCACUCAUUCACGAAAGAUUAUGAUCCUGAAUAAAAGGAACAACAUUUACUACUUUUUGGACUGCUGAAACUUCUACUACUUUCUCAUCUACGGUCAACCAAAUGCUGAAGCUGAAGCCGAAGCUAAAUGCCUUAAUGAGAUGCAAUUUAGGGGAUGGGAAGUCUGUUAGCUUCUGGUUUGACUGGUGGACUGAUCUUGGUCCCCUAAUCUCUGUGUGUGGCAGGAGAGGUACUAGGGACCUUCGUAUUCCCAUUGACGCUACUGUUAGUGCUGCUGCACCUAAUGGACACUGGUCUCUUCCACCGGCGAGAUCCGAUGAAGCUGAAACCUUGCAGGUGGUUCUCUCAACGAUGCAGCCACCAUCAUCUUUGCACGGAAAGGAUUGUUUCCUUUGGCGGAGUGGUGCUCACUCUUUUCUGCCCAAGUUCUCUUCUAAAGCUACUUGGAACUUUGUAAGACAACCCUCCCCUCUGGUAUCGUGGUAUAAACUUAUCUGGUUCAAAGAAGAGAUUCCCCGCUGUUCUUUUGUCUCUUGGAUGUCAGUUUUAUCAAGGCUGCCUACUAGAGAUAGGCUCAUCUCAUGGGGAAUGCAGGUUCCUCCGGUGUGUCCCCUAUGUUCUCUGGACCAUGAAUCGCACGCUCAUAUGUUCUUCUCCUGCUGCUUCUCAACUGCAGUUUGGUCUCACUUCACGGGCUGGUUGCUCCCUACCACUCCGGAUUCACUCGCCUCUUUGGAAACCACCAUUGCUCUGCCACAUAUUGCUUCCUGCUCGGGUGCUGUGUCUGUUAUUAAACUUUUGAUGCAGGUCAUCGUCUACAGCCUGUGGAGAGAGAGGAACGUCCGUAUCUUUAAGAAUGUUUCCUCUACCGCAGCGGCGAUCGCCAAGUAUGUUGAUCGUUCUAUGAGGGAUCGUCUCUUGUCCUUAGCCCCUCCAGCUGAUGGCCACGACACGCUCCUCCUGCUCUACCUUUCCAUCAGACGUCUCUUUCCACCUUAGUGUCGCUUUCUCUUAUUUUGAUUGUUGUUGUUUAGUCUGUUUCCUUUGUCUUUCUUUUCUGCUUCUCUGUUCUUCUCUUGUAAUAAGUUGUUUAACAACAACAGUGUAUCCUUCUUUCAGAAAAUGGUAAGCUUAACAUUUUACCAAAAAAAAAAAAAUUAUAACAAAUAUAAGAAUAGAGAUCCAUAUCUAUAUGUAUCUUAUUUCCAAUGAUAAUGCACCGAUGUCAUGUAUAUACUAUAUGCUUGAAAUCUAUGGAACGUGACGAUAAAAUGAUGCAAUGAUUUGUUAUUGGAAUCUCUAAUGAACUAAUUAACUCCAUAUGAAUUUUUUUUUUCCUAGGUAGUAAUGUUUUCCUAUUCCAAAAAUAUUACCAUUAUCUUAUCUAACCAGUUUUGUAAAGUUAUUAUUCUGACUGUUUUCUUAUCCCAAUAAAUUGAAAACCUAAUAGCCAUCUGAAAGUAGUAACCACGAAGAAGAAGCAGUAUAGAAAUUACAUGUUCAUAGAAUCAGACAUUUUACAAUCCGAUAUAGAAAGUCUCGUAAACAGAAAUCCAAAGAGAAAAAAAAGAAACAGACUUAUUGGAAAUGAAAUGAGAAGAUAUUAUUAUAUGAAAGCGAAUUAAGCACCGGUGAAGCUUGGUGGCUUGUAAGCGAUGAAACUGAUGCACUGGACUUGACGGUUGUUGUCGAAUCCAAUGAUCCUGAUGAAGGCAUUAGGGUACUCAGUUUUGCAUUCUUGAACUUCCUUCAACACUUGAGCAGAGUCAGUGCAUCCGAACAAGGGAAGCUUCCACAUUGUCCAGUAACGGCCAUCGUAGUAUCCGGGGGUGCUUCCGUGCUCACGGUACACAAAUCCGUGCUACAAACACAUGAGAAUUCCAUUUAAAAUCAGGAUUGAGAUCAUGUGAUAAAAGAUGUUUAGAUCCAAAAAAUAUUUUGUCUUCAUUACCUCCAACUCGAAUUCAACACAAGGAAUCCACUUGUUGCGGAGAAGGUAGUCAACUUCCUUACCCAAUUCAACUUCGGUAAGGUCAGGAAGGUAAGAGAGGGUCUCAAACUUCUUCUUUCCAAUUGGUGGCCACACCUACAAAUCGUAUUUCCAGUUAAUGAAAUAUUAGUUCACUUUUGUACAUACUGUUUAGACCUUUUAACGAUCCUAGGUUUCUAAAUGUACUUUUGAAUAGGAUUCUGUUCGAAUCUACCAGUUGCGUGUAAUAAAAGACAAGCCUAACUGUAAACUCUCUAGUGACAUUUACCUGCAUGCAGCUAACUCUUCCUCCGUUGCUAACGAUGGAGGUAAUGUCGUUGUUGGCCUUGCGGGUGACUGGGAAUGCAGAGGAAGACUUCAAGCCGGUGAAUGGAGCGACCAUGGUGGCUUGAGCCGGGGAGGUAACAACAGCGGCGGAGGAGAGCAUAGAGUAAGCCAUGACUACUUCUUCUUCCUUCUCUUAACUCUUACUGUUAGUCUAUUGCUUUGGUCAUCUAUAUAGAGUGAGAACCCUUAUGGAUAUUUCAUGAUAUCGUCGUUAACAGCCACAGGAUUAUGAACGGUGUUGAUACCCUUAUCGAUACUUGACCACAAUGAAAAUGCCACGUGACAGAAAGGUUAUCUUAUCUUAUCGUAUUAUGAAAACGUAUGGUUACUGGUCCGGUCUCCACUUGAGCCGAUGCUUUAGGCUCCUUCCUUAUUUUCGUGGGUCAACUUUUCAUAGAGCCCAUAAGGAUGAGAUCGUGUGGUACAUAAUAGGCCCAACAAUCAACGCCGUGAAAGAAAGUUACAUUAAUUUGCUACCACUUGUAGUUGCACACAGAAAAAAAAAAUUACUAACACUUGUAGCUUUAAGAAUUUAUAUCUCCAAUACGUGUCUCCCUUCGAAAUGUCACCCGGAAUUGGUUCUGCUACGUCAUCACCUCAUUACCGUCACUGAAUCCGCCAGUGAUGACUCAAAUUUCAUCAACUCUUCCGCAAGCUUCUACACCUCCGAGAGCAUGUACCACCAAAAAAUCCUUCCAUCAUAUGUACUAUGCAGACGCAAGCUGACCGAAAAGAACUUUCAACAUAGUACCGGCUCAAAUAUUUUUAGAGGCCAGAGCGGGUCAGAAAAAUAAUUUCAUUUUAUUGAGAAUUUAAAAUAUUUUUUCUGUUAACAAUUUCAUUUUUAAAAAUAUUAGAAUACAUAAAAGGCCAGCUAAAUGUGACAGGUGAUUACGUAGUUUUAAUCAUUAAUCUUAACUUUCUUCGUUAGCUGAUCAACAUGAUAAACAAAUGCUCUAGGUAUAUCUUAUCUAUAACCUUAUAGGAGCAACUGCUAGUAUUAGAUGGAUUCAAAAUAUCUUGGAGAAUGGCUAUUGCUCGAUUUACGUUAGGCGUUUACUUCCUUCUGCUUAGAUGGAAAUUCAGGCUCUUGUUGAGUUCUGCACUCCUAGAAAGACCACAUUCUUGUAACAGAGUGUGUUCAUUUGUUGAACGGCUAAUAGCAUGGCCAUUGCUUAUGCUUUUAUAAUAGUUAACUAACCUGGGCGGGUAUUGAUUUUUUACAUUUUUAUAUAUUGAUUUUUGUUUUUCAUAAUUAGUAUUAUAUAUUUUAGAUGCUUGUAAUAUAACUAAUUGUAUUCAAAAGAACAACUGCUAGGAUCAACAGCUAGUAUUAGAUGGAUUCAAAAUAUCUUAGAGAAUGGCUAUUGCUCCAUUUACGUUAGGCGUUUACUUCCUUCUGCUUAGAUGGAGAUUCAGGCUCUUGUUGAGUUCUGCACUCCUAGAAAGACCACAUUCUUGUAACAGAGUGUGUUCAUUUGUUGAACGGCUAAUAGCAUGGCCAUUGCUUAUGCUUUUAAUAGUUAACUAACCUGGGUGGGUAUUGAUUUUUUACAUUUUUAUAUAUUGAUUUUUGUUUUUCAUAAUUAGUGUUAUAUAUUUUAGACGCUUGUAAUAUAACUAAUUGUAUUCAAAAGAACAACUGCUAGGAUCAACAGCUAGUAUUAGAUGGAUUCAAAAUAUCUUAGAGAAUGGCUAUUGCUCCAUUUACGUUAGGCGUUUACUUCCUUCUGCUUAGAUGGAGAUUCAGGCUCUUGUUGAGUUCUGCACUCCUAGAAAGACCACAUUCUUGUAACAGAGUGUGUUCAUUUGUUGAACGGCUAAUAGCAUGGCCAUUGCUUAUGCUUUUAUAAUAGUUAACUAACCUGGGCGGGUAUUGAUUUUUUACAUUUUUAUAUAUUGAUUUUUGUUUUUCAUAAUUAGUAUUAUAUAUUUUAGAUGCUUGUAAUAUAACUAAUUGUAUUCAAAAGAACAACUGCUAGGAUCAACAGCUAGUAUUAGAUGGAUUCAAAAUAUCUUAGAGAAUGGCUAUUGCUCCAUUUACGUUAGGCGUUUACUUCCUUCUGCUUAGAUGGAGAUUCAGGCUCUUGUUGAGUUCUGCACUCCUAGAAAGACCACAUUCUUGUAACAGAGUGUGUUCAUUUGUUGAACGGCUAAUAGCAUGGCCAUUGCUUAUGCUUUUAUAAUAGAAGCCCAGGUCCCGAUGGCUAUUCUUUUGAGUUCCUUAAAGCAUCGUGGGAUACUGUUGGAGGGGAUGUGAUUGCUGCGGUUUCUGAGUUUUUUCGUAAUGGCCGAUUGCUGAAAGACCUAAACACCACAGCUAUUGUUCUCAUUCCUAAGACCACUACUGCUUGUAGCCUUCGGGACUACCGGCCGAUAAGCUGCUGCAACAUUGUGUAUAAGAUCAUCACCAAGAUAAUCGCCAACAGGCUCAAGCCGAUUCUCAAGAGUUCGAUAAGUCGUGCUCAGUCGGCUUUUCUUAAAGGGCGCAGCUUGGGUGAAAACGUCCUUCUUGCAGCUGAGCUGAUCCGCAAGUAUGAGAACCAAAAUUGCAGCAGGAGCAGCAUGCUAAAAAUAGACAUCCGCAAAGCUUUUGAUACAAUCUGCUGGGACUUUGUCAUUAAGAUCCUCCAGGCUCAGGGAUUCCCUCCGAUUUUCGUUACCUGGAUCAGAGAAUGCAUCUCGUCACCCAGGUUCUCUGUGGCCAUUAAUGGUGAGUUUGCAGGUUUCUUCCCGGGGAAAAAGGGGCUGCGUCAGGGUGAUGCAAUCUCGCCGUACCUCUUCAUUAUGGUGAUGGAAGUACUGUCAAAACUGCUUGAACGAGCUGCUGCUGCUGGACAUUUUCGCCUCCAUCCUCGGUGUUCUGAGCCUAUAGUCACGCAUCUGCUUUUUGCUGAUGAUCUUCUUGUGUUCACUGAUGGGUCAAGGCACUCUAUCUCCGGUGUUAAGAACGUGAUGGCAGGGUUUAAAGACUGGACAGGUCUGGAUAUAAAUGCUGAAAAAUCUGAAAUUUUCUUUGGUGGGUAUCUAGAUAUUGAGGCUGCUGUCAUCAGUGACAUCUCAGGUUUCAAGCGUGGUAAAUUCCCAACUCGGUAUCUAGGCCUACCGCUAUGCCCUAAGAAGAUCAGUUUUGCGACGCUGCAGCCUUUUCUUGAGCGAAUAACUGCCAAGCUAAACAAUUGGACAGUUAAAUGCCUCUCCUAUGCCGGCAGGAUCACUAUGAUCUCAUCCGUCAUUUAUGGAAUGGUAAAUUUUUGGAGCUCGGUCUUCACACUGCCAAAGAGGUUCUAUGCUAAGGUUGACUCCUUCUGUGCGUCCUUCCUCUGGAAAAAUAAGACUACAUCGGCUUCGGGGGCUCGAGUUAGCUGGGACGAUAUAUGUAAACCGAAGAAUGAGGGCGGAUUAGGAAUCAGGAAGUUGGAAGAUUUCCAAUCAGUCUUCCAGCUGAAGAGGGUUUGGAAUUUUUUCUCUGAGGCAAGCUCUUUAUGGGUUGCUUGGCUCCAGCAUAAUGUCUUCGCGGGGUCAUCUUUUUGGACUGCUGAAACUUCUACUACUUUCUCAUCUACGGUCAACCAAAUGCUGAAGCUGAAGCCGAAGCUAAAUGCCUUAAUGAGAUGCAAUUUAGGGGAUGGGAAGUCUGUUAGCUUCUGGUUUGACUGGUGGACUGAUCUUGGUCCCCUAAUCUCUGUGUGUGGCAGGAGAGGUACUAGGGACCUUCGUAUUCCCAUUGACGCUACUGUUAGUGCUGCUGCACCUAAUGGACACUGGUCUCUUCCACCGGCGAGAUCCGACGAAGCUGAAACCUUGCAGGUGGUUCUCUCAACGAUGCAGCCACCAUCAUCUUUGCGCGGAAAGGAUUGUUUCCUUUGGCGGAGUGGUGCUCACUCUUUUCUGCCCAAGUUCUCUUCUAAAGCUACUUGGAACUUUGUAAGACAACCCUCCCCUCUGGUAUCGUGGUAUAAACUUAUCUGGUUCAAAGAAGAGAUUCCCCGCUGUUCUUUUGUCUCUUGGAUGUCAGUUUUAUCAAGGCUGCCUACUAGAGAUAGGCUCAUCUCAUGGGGAAUGCAGGUUCCUCCGGUGUGUCCCCUAUGUUCUCUGGACCAUGAAUCGCACGCUCAUAUGUUCUUCUCCUGCUGCUUCUCAACUGCAGUUUGGUCUCACUUCACGGGCUGGUUGCUCCCUACCACUCCGGAUUCACUCGCCUCUUUGGAAACCACCAUUGCUCUGCCACAUAUUGCUUCCUGCUCGGGUGCUGUGUCUGUUAUUAAACUUUUGAUGCAGGUCAUCGUCUACAGCCUGUGGAGAGAGAGGAACGUCCGUAUCUUUAAGAAUGUUUCCUCUACCGCAGCGGCGAUCGCCAAGUAUGUUGAUCGUUCUAUGAGGGAUCGUCUCUUGUCCUUAGCCCCUCCAGCUGAUGGCCACGACACGCUCCUCCUGCUCUACCUUUCCAUCAGACGUCUCUUUCCACCUUAGUGUCGCUUUCUCUUAUUUUGAUUGUUGUUGUUUAGUCUGUUUCCUUUGUCUUUCUUUUCUGCUUCUCUGUUCUUCUCUUGUAAUAAGUUGUUUAACAACAACAGUGUAUCCUUCUUUCAGAAAAUGGUAAGCUUAACAUUUUACCAAAAAAAAAAAAAUUAUAACAAAUAUAAGAAUAGAGAUCCAUAUCUAUAUGUAUCUUAUUUCCAAUGAUAAUGCACCGAUGUCAUGUAUAUACUAUAUGCUUGAAAUCUAUGGAACGUGACGAUAAAAUGAUGCAAUGAUUUGUUAUUGGAAUCUCUAAUGAACUAAUUAACUCCAUAUGAAUUUUUUUUUUCCUAGGUAGUAAUGUUUUCCUAUUCCAAAAAUAUUACCAUUAUCUUAUCUAACCAGUUUUGUAAAGUUAUUAUUCUGACUGUUUUCUUAUCCCAAUAAAUUGAAAACCUAAUAGCCAUCUGAAAGUAGUAACCACGAAGAAGAAGCAGUAUAGAAAUUACAUGUUCAUAGAAUCAGACAUUUUACAAUCCGAUAUAGAAAGUCUCGUAAACAGAAAUCCAAAGAGAAAAAAAAGAAACAGACUUAUUGGAAAUGAAAUGAGAAGAUAUUAUUAUAUGAAAGCGAAUUAAGCACCGGUGAAGCUUGGUGGCUUGUAAGCGAUGAAACUGAUGCACUGGACUUGACGGUUGUUGUCGAAUCCAAUGAUCCUGAUGAAGGCAUUAGGGUACUCAGUUCU
rnacentral:lncRNA from 1 species